rnacentral:lncRNA from 1 species
GGGGACCACCUACCCGGGAGGGCCCAAGGACCUUGGGGGUGGCACACCAAGUAGGUGGGGUCAGCCCAAGGCUGUCUUGCGCAAGAGAAAGAGAAAAACCAAAAGAAGAGAAAAAAAGAGAGGAAAGGUGGGAAAGAAGAGAAGGACUCCACCUUCCAAUCCUAGUUGGACUAGGAUUGGAGGAGGACUGCUCCUCCCCUUGAUGGCGCAGCCCUUGGGGCUCCUUGAGCCUCAAGGCAAGCCUCCCCUCCCCUCGUCCUAUAUAUAUGGAGCUAUUAGGGCUGAUUUGAGACAACUUUUGCCACGGCAGCCCGACCACAUACCUCCACGGUUUUUCCUCUAGAUCGCGUUUCUGCGGAGCUCGGGCGGAGCCCUGCUGAGAUUAGAUCACCACCAACCUCCGGAGCGCCGUCACACUGCCGGAGAACUCAUCUACCUCUCCGUCUCUCUUGCUGGAUCAAAAAGGCCGAGAUCAUCGUCGAGCUAUACGUGUGCUGAACGCGGAGGUGCCGUCCGUUCGGCACUAGAUCGGAGCGGAUCGCGGGACGGUUCGUGGGACGGUUUGCGGGGCGGAUCGAGGGACGUGAGGACGUUCCACUACAUCAACCGCAUUUCUUAACGCUUCUGCUGUGUGAUCUACAAGGGUACGUAGAUCGGAAAUCCCCUCUCGUAGAUGGACAUCACCAUGAUAGGUCUUCGUGCGCGUAGGAAAUUUUUUGUUUCCCAUGCGACGUUCCCCUGCAGUGGCAUCAUGAGCUAGGUUCAUGCGUAGAUGUCUUCUCGAGUAGAACACAAAAGUUUUUGUGGGCGGUGAUGUGCGUUUUUUCUGCCCUCCUUAGUAUUUUCUUGAUUCCGCGGUAUUGUUGGAUUGAAGCGGCUUGGACCGACAUUACUCGUACGCUUACGAGAGACUGGUUUCAUCGCUACGAGUAACUCCGUUGCUCAAAGAUGACUGGCAAGUGUCGGUUUCUCCAACUUUAGUUGAAUCGGAUUUGACCGAGGAGGUCCUUGGAUAAGGUUAAAUAGAAAUUCAUAUAUCUCCGUUGUGGUGUUUGCGUAAGUAAGAUGCAGUCCUACUAGAUACCCAUGGUCACCACGUAAAAACAUGCAACAACAAAUUAGAGGACGUCUAACUUGUUUUUGCAGGGUAUGCUUGUGAUGUGAUAUGGCCAACGAUGUGAUGUGAUAUAUUGGAUGUAUGAGAUGAUCAUGUUGUAAUAGUUAAUAUCGACUUGCACGUCGAUGGUACGGCAACCGGCAGGAGCCAUAGGGUUAUCUUUAAACUAACGUUUGUGCUUGCAGAUGCGUUUACUAUAUUGCUAGGACGUAGCUUUAGUAGUAAUAGCAUGAGUAGCACGACAACCCCGAUGGCGACACGUUGAUGGAGAUCAUGAUGAUGGAGAUCAUGGUGUGACGCCGGUGACAAGAAGAUCGUGUCGGUGCUUUGGUGAUGGAGAUCAAGAAGCACAUGAUGAUGGCCAUAUCAUGUCACUUAUGAAUUGCAUGUGAUGUUAAUCCUUUAUGCACCUUAUCUUGCUUAGAACGACGGUAGCAUUAUGAGGUGAUCUCUCACUAAAAUUUCAAGAUGAAAUUGUGUUCUCCCCGACUGUGCACCAUUGCGACAGUUCUUUGUUUCGAGACACCACGUGAUGAUCGGGUGUGAUAGACUCAACGUUCACAUACAACGGGUGCAAAACAGUUGCACACGCGGAACACUCGGGUUAAGCUUGACGAGCCUAGCAUGUGCAUACAUGGCCUCGGAACACAUGAGACCGAAAGGUCGAGCAUGAAUCGUAUAGUUGAUAUGAUUAGCAUAGAGAUGCUUACCACUGAAACUAUUCUCGACUCACGUGAUGAUCGGACUUGAGAUAGUGGAUUUGGAUCAUGUACCACUCAAAUGACACGAGAGAUGUACUUUUUGAGUGGGAGUUCUUAAGUAAUAUGAUUAAUUGAACUAAUUGUCAUGAACAUAGUCUAAUGGUCUUUGCGAAUUACGAUGUAGCUUGCGCUAUAGCUCUACUGUUUUUAUAUGUUCCUAGAGAAAAUUUAGUUGAAAGUUGAUAGUAGCAAACUUUGCAGACUGAGUCUGUAAAACCGAGGAUUGUCCUCGUUGCUAUGCAGAAGGCUUAUGUCCUUAAUGCACCACUCGGUGUGCUGCACCUCGAGCGUCGUCUGUAGAUGAUGUGAACAUCCGACAUACACAUUUCUGAUGACUACACGAUAGUUCAGUACAAAAUACUUAAUGGCUUACAAGCAAGGCGCCGAAGACGUUUUGAAAUGUCACGGAACAUAAGAGAUGUUCUAAAGAGAUGAAAUUGUGAUUUCAUGCUUGUGCCCUUGUUAAGAGGUAUGAUACCCCCGACAAGAUUCUUUGUCCACGAAGUAGAGGAGAAAAGCUCAAUCAUUGAGCGUGUGCUCAGAUUAUCUGAGUACGACAAUCGCUUUAAUCAAGUGGGAGUUGAUCUUCCAGAUAAGAUAGUGAUGGUUCUCCAAAGUCACUGCCACCAAGCUGUGAGAGCUUCGUGAUGAACUAUAACAUAUCAAGGAUAGAUACAAUGAUCCUUGAGCGAUUCGCGAUGUUUGACACUGCGAAAGUAGAAAUCAAGAAGGAGCAUCAAUAGUUGAUGGUUAGUAAAACCACUAAGUUUCGAUAAAGGCAAGGGCUAGAAGGGAUACUUUGUGAAACGACAAAGCAGUUGCUGCACUAAUGAAGAGACCCCAGAUUAAAGCCAAGCCCGGGACUAAGUGCUUCUGUUAUGAGGGGAACGGUCACUGAGGUGGAGCAACUCUAGAUACUUGGUAGAUAAGAAGGCUGGCAAAAGUCGAAAGAAGUAUAUUUGAUAUACAUGAUGUUGAUGUGUACUUUACUAGUACUCCUAGUAGCACGAGGGUAUUGGAUACCGGUUCGGUUGCUAAGUGAUUAGUAACACGAAAUGAAAGCUACGACAUAAACAGAGACUAGCUAAAGGCGAGGUGACGAUACGUGUUGGAAGUGUUUCCAAGGUUGAUAUGAUCAAACGUCGCACACUCCCUCUACCAUCGGGAUUGGUGUUAAACCUAAAUAAUUGUUAUUUGGUGCUUGCGUUAAGCAUGAACAUGAUUGGAUCAUGUUUAUUGCAAUACGAUUAUUCAUUUAAAGAGAAUAAUGGUUACUAUAUUUGCUUGAAUAAUCACCUUCAAUGGUUUAUUGAAUCUCGAUCGUAGUGUUACACAUGUUCAUGAUAUUGGUGCCAAAAGAUACGAGGUAAUGAUGAUAGUACCACUUACUUGUGGCACUACCGCUUGAGUCAUGUUGGUAUAAAUUGCAUGAAGAGGCUCCAUGCUGAUGGAUCUUUAUACUCACUUGAUUUUGAAUCACUAGUGACAUGCAAAUCAUACCACAUGAGCAAGGCCUUGUUUUCAUUGAGAUGAAACAAGAUAGUAACUUGUUGGAAGUGAUACAUUUUGAUGUAUGCAGUCCAAUGGGUGCUGAGGCACGCAGUGGAUAUCAUUAUGUUCUUACUUCAAUGACGAUUUGAGCAGAUACAAGAGUAUUUACUUAAUGAAUCACAAGUCUGAAAUAUUGAAAGGUUCAAUUCUGUUUCAGGAGUGAAGUUCGUCGUAACAAGAGGAUAAACUAUCUACGAUAUGAUCAUAGAAAUGAAUAUCUGAGUUACGAGUUUUUGUACGUAGUUAAGACAAUGUGGAAAUUGUUUCGCAGUUCAUGCCACCUGGAACAUCAUAGUGUGAUGAUGUGUCUGAACGUCAUAGCCACGCACGAUUUGGUAUGGUGCAUGCUAUGAUGUCUCUUAUCGAAUUACCACUAUCGUUUAUGGGUUAUGCAUUAGAGACAACCACAUUCACUUUAAAUUGGGCACCGCGUAUUUCCGUUGAGAUGACAUAAUAUAGACUGAGGUUUAGAGAAAUCUAAACUGUCGUUUCUUGAAAGUUUGGGGCUUCGACACUUAUGUGAAAAAGUUUCAGUCUGAUAAGCUCGAACCCAAGGCGGAUAAAUGCAUCUUCAUAGGAUAUCCAAAACAGUUGGGUACAGCUCCUAUCUCAGAUCCGAAAGCAAAGUGUUUGUUUCUAGAAACUGAUCCUUUCUCGAGGAAAGGUUUCUCUCAAAAGAGUUGAGUGGGAGGGUGGCAGAACUUGAUGAGGUUAUUGAACCAUCACUUCAACCAGUGUGUAGCAGGGCACAGGAAGUUGUUCCUGUGGCGCCUACACCAAUUGAAGUGAAAGCUGAUGAUGGUGAUCAUCGAGCAUCGGAUCAAGUUACUACAAGCCUCGUAGGUUGACAAGGUCGCGUACUACUGUAGAGUGGUACGUUAACCCUGUCUUGGAGGUCAUGUUGUUGAGCAACAGUGAAUCUACGAGUUAUGGAGAAAGCAAUGGUGGGCCCGGAUUCCGACAAAUGGCUGGAAGCCAUGAAAUCCGAGAGAGGAUCCAUGUAUGAAAACAAAGUGUAGACUUUGGAAGAACUACUUGAUGGUCAUAGGACUAUUGAGUAAAGAUGGAUCUUUAAAAGGAAGACAGACGAUGAUGGUGAUAAGUCACUAUUAAGAAAAGCUCGACUUGUCGCAAAGAUGUUUCCGACAAGAUCAAACAGUUGACUAGGAUGAGACUUUCUCACUCGUAGCGAUGCUAAAAGUAUGUUAGAAUUAUGUUAGUAGUUGUUGCAUUAUUUACGAAAUAUUGCACAUAGGAUGUCAAAACAUUGUUUCCUCGACGGUUUGCUUGAGCAAACAUUGGAUGUGAUACAAUCAGGAGGUUUUGUCGAUCCUAAAGAUACUAGCAAGUAUGCAAGCUCCAACAAUCCUUCAAUGGACUGGUGCAAGCAUCUCGGAGUUGGAAUAUACACUUUGAUGAGAUGAUCAAAUAUUUUGGGUUUGUACAAGGUUUAUGAGAAACUUGUAUUUCCAAAGAAGUGAGUGGGAGCACUAUAGAAUUUCUGAUAAGUACAUGUGGUUGACAUAUUGUGGAUCAUAAGUAAUGUAGAAUUUCUGUAAAGCAUACAAGGUUGUUUGAAAGGAGUUUUUCAAAGGAAUACUUGGAUUGCGCUACUUGAACGUUGAGCAUCAAAGAUCUAUGGAGAUAGAUCGAAAGCGCUUAAUAGAAGUUUCUACAAGAUGCAUGCCUUGACAAGUUUUUGAAGGAGUUCAAAAUAGAUCAACAAAGAAGGAGUUCUUGGUUGCGUUGUGAGGUGUGAAUUUGAGUAAGACUCAAAACUCGACCCCGGCAGAAUAAAGAGAAUAGACGAAGGUCGUCUUCUAUGCCUUGGUCGUAGAAUCUGAAGUAUGCCAUGCUGGGUACCGCACCUGAUGUGUGCCUUGACUCAAAGUCUGUUGAGAGGUACAGAGAGUGAUCCAUGAUUGAAUCACUAGCAGCGGUCAAAAUUUAUCCUUAGUAACUGAUGAACUAAGGAAUUUUUCUCGAUUAUGGAGGUGGUUAAAGAGUUCGUCGUAAAGGGUUACGUCGAUGCAAGCUUUGACACUAAUCCGAAUAACUAUGAGUAGUGAAACGGAUUCGUAUAGUAGAGUAGAUGUUUGGAGUAUUUCCGAAUAGCACAUAGUAGCAGCAUCUAUAAGAUGACAUAAAGAUUUGUAAAGAACACACGGAUCUGAAAGUUUCAGAACCGUUGACUAAAACCUCUCUCACGAGCAAGACGUGAUCAGACCCCAUAACUAUAUGGGUGUUGGAUUCGUUGGAAUCACAUGGUGAUGUGAACUAGAUUAUUGACUCUAGUGCAAGUGGGAGACUGUUGGAAAUAUGCCCUAGAGGCAAUAAUAAAUUAAUUAUUAUUAUAUUUCUUUGUUCAUGAUAAUCAUUUAUUAUCCAUGCUAUAAUUGUAUUGAUUGGAAACACAGUGCAUGUGUGGAUACAUAGACAAAACACUGUCCCUAGUAAGCCUCUACUUGACUAGGUCGUUGAUCAAAGAUGGUCAAGGUUUCUAACCAUAGGCAAGUGUUGUCACUUGAUAACGGGGUCACAUCAUUAGGAGAAUCAUGUGAUGGACUAGACCCAAACUAAUAGACGUAGCAUGUUGAUCGUGUCAUUUUGUUGCUACUGUUUUCUGCGUGUCAAGUAUUUGUUCCUAUGACCAUGAGAUCAUAUAACUCACUGACACCGGAGGAAUGCUUUGUGUGUAUCAAACGUCGCAACAUAACUGGGUGACUAUAAAGAUGCUCUACAGGUAUCUCCGAAGGUGUUCGUUGAGUUAGUAUGGAUCGAGACUGGGAUUUGUCACUCCGUGUGACGGAGAGGUAUCUCGGGGCCCACUCGGUAAUACAACAUCACACACAAGCCUUGCAAGCAAUGUGACUUAGUGUAAGUUGCGGGAUCUUGUAUUACGGAAUGAGUAAAGAGACUUGCCGGUAAACGAGAUUGAAAUAGGUAUGCGGAUACUGACGAUCGAAUCUCGGGCAAGUAACAUACCGAAGGACAAAGGGAAUAACAUACGGGAUUAUAUGAAUCCUUGGCACUGAGGUUCAAACGAUAAGAUCUUCGUAGAAUAUGUAGGAUCCAAUAUGGGCAUCCAAGUCCCGCUAUUGGAUAUUUACCGAGGAGUCACUCAGGUCAUGUCUACAUAGUUCUUGAACCCGCAGGGUCUGCACACUUAAGGUUCGACGUUGUUUUUAUGCGUAUUUGAGUUAUAUUGUUGGUUACCGAAUGUUGUUCGAAGUCCCGGAUGAGAUCACGGACGUCACGAGGGUUUCCGAAAUGGUCCGGAAACGAAGAUUGAUAUAUAGGAUGACUUCAUUUGGUUACCGGAAGGUUUUCGGGCAUUACCGGUAAUGUACCGGGAAUGACGAAUGGGUUCCGGAUCUUCACCGGGAGGGGGGACCACCCACCCGGGAGGGCCCAAGGACCUUGGGGGUGGCACACCAAGUAGGUGGGGUCAGCCCAAGGCUGUCUUGCGCAAGAGAGAAAGAAAAACCAAAAGAAGAGAAAGAACAAAAAGAGGAAAGGUGGGAAAGAAGAGAAGGACUCCACCUUCCAAUCCUAGUUGGACUAAGAUUGGAGGAGGAAUCCUCCUCUCCUUGAUGGCGCAGCCCUUGGGGCUCCUUGAGCCUCAAGGCAAGCAUCCCCUCCCCUCCUCCUAUAUAUAUGGAGCUAUUAGGGCUGAUUUGAGAUAACUUUUGCCACGGCAGCCCGACCACAUACCUCCACGGUUUUUCCUCUAGAUCGCGUUUCUGCGGAGCUCGGGCGGAGCCUUGCUGAGAUUAGAUCACCACCAACCUCCGGAGCGCCAUCACGCUGCCGGAGAACUCAUCUACCUCUCCAUCUCUCUUGCGGGAUCAAGAAGGCUGAGAUCAUCGUCGAGCUGUAUGUGUGCUGAACGCGGAGGUGCCGUCCGUUCGGCACUAGAUCGGGGCGGAUCAUGGGACGGAUCGCGGGACGGUUUGUGGGACGGUUCGCGGGGCGGAUCGAGGGACGUGAGGACGUUCCACUACAUCAACCGCAUUUCUUAACGCUUCUGCUGUGCGAUCUACAAGGGUACGUAGAUCGGAAAUCCCCUCUCGUAGAUGGACAUCACCAUGAUAGGUCUUCGUGCGCGUAGGAAAUUUUUUGUUUCCCAUGCGACGUUCCCCUGCAGGAUGCACACCCACUAGUUUUCCUUAAGAGCUUUCACAUACUCGUAGCUCUAGUGCAUAAUUUGUAUGGCAAUCCCUACUCAUUCACAUUGAUAUCUAUUGAUGAGCAUCUCCACCGCUCAUUGAUAUGCCUAGUUAAUGUGACUAUCUUCUCCUUUUUUGUCUUGCAACCUCCACUACAUUCCACACCAUCUGUAGUGCUAUAACCAUGGCUCAUGCUCAUGUAUUGCGUGAGAGUUGAAAAUGUUUGAGAAAGUAAAGGUGUGAAACAAUUACUUGGCCAAUACUGGGGUUGUGCAUGAUUUAAAUUCGUUGUGCAAUGAUGAUAGAGCAUAGCCAGACUAUAUGCUUUUGUAGGGAUAACUUUCUUUUGGCCUUGUUAUUUUGAAAGUUCAUGAUUACUUUGCUAGUUUGCUUGAAUUAUUAUAGUUUCCACGUCAAUAGCAAACUAUUGUUUUGAAUCUAAUGGAUCUGAACAUUCACGUCACAUAAGAGGAAUUACAAAGGACACCUAUGCUAGGUAGCAUGAAAGCAUCAAAAAUUCAUUCUUAUCACUUCCCUACUCGAGGACGAGCAGGAGUUAAGCUUGGGGAUGCUUGAUACGUCUCAAACGUAUCUAUAAUUUUUGAUGGUUUCACGCUGUUAUCUUGUCUUCUUUGGUUGUUUUAUGUAUCUUUUUAUAUCUUUUGGGGACUAACUUAUUAAUUCACUGCCAAGUGUCAGUUCCUGUUUUUUUUCGUGUUUCUGACUCUUUUCAGAUCUGAUUUUGGAAUGGAGUCCCAACGGAAGAAAAACCCCGAAAUGAUUUUUUCCCGAACAGAAGAAGACCAGGGGGCUUUUGGGCCAAGCCAGGUGGGCUCGAGGGAGCCCACAAGCCCCCACUCCGCCACCAGGGGGAGGCGGCGGUGGGCAGGCUUCUGGCCUCCCUGGCCGCCCCCUGACCUAGGUUUUUGGCUUAUAAAUUCCCAAAUAUUCUGCAAAAAAUCAAGGGAGCCUCGAAAAUACUUUUCCGCUGCUGCAAGCUUCCGUUUCCGCAAGAUCUCAUCUGGAGACCCUUCCCGGCGCCCUGCCGGAGGGGACUUUGGAGUUGGAGGGCUUCUUCAUCAUCAUCAUCGCCCCUCCAAUGCCUCGUGAGUAGUACACUUCAGACCUACGGGUCCGUAGUUAGUAGCUAGAUGGCUUCUUCUCUCUCUUGUAUCUUCAAAACAAAGUUCUCCAUGAUCUUCAUGGAGAUCUAUCCGAUGUAAUCUUCUUUGGCGGUGUGUUUGUCGAGAUCUGAUGAAUUGUGGAUUUGUGAUCAGAUUAUCUAUGAUAUAUAUUUGAGUCUUUGCUGAUUUCUUAUAUGCAUGAUUUGAUAUCCUUGUAAGUCUCUCUGAGUCUUGGGUUUUGUUUGGCCAACUAGAUCUAUGAUUCUUGCAAUGGGAGAAGUGCUUUGUUUUGGGUUCUACCAUGUGGUGACCUUUUCCAGUGACAGUAGGGGAAGCAAGGCACACAUCAAGUAGUUGCCAUCAAGGAUAAAAAGAUGGGGUUUUUAUCAUUGGUUUGAGAUUAUCCCUCUACAUCAUGUCAUCUUGCUUAAGGCGUUUCUCUGUUCUUAUGGACUUAAUACACUAGAUGCAUGCUGGAUAGCGGUCGACGUGUGGAGUAAUAGUAGUAGAUGCAGAAAGUAUCAGUCUACUUGUUUCAGACGUGAUACCUAUAGAAAUAAUCAUUGCAUAGAUAUCGUCACGACUUUGCGCAGUUCUAUCAAUUGCUCGACUGUAAUUUGUUCACCCACCUUCUACUUGCUUUUAUGAGAGAAGCCACUAGUAAACACUACGGCCCCCGGGUCUAUUCACAUCCAUCGUUUACAUCUCCGCUUUUAAUUUGCUUUGUUACUUUGUUGCUUUCAGUUCUCACUUGGCAAACAAUCUAUAAGGGAUUGACAACCCCUUCAUAGCGUUGGGUGCAAGCUUUUGUGUUUGUGCAGGAUCUUGAGAUACUCUUCCGUCGAAUUGAUACCUUGGUUCUCAAACUGAGGGAAAUAUUUACCGUCGCUGUGCUACAUCACCCUUUCCGCUUCGAGGGAACACCAACGCAAGGCUCCAAGGCCACGGGGGAAAUCCUUUGCAUACUUGCCUAGGAAGUCCCUUAAGGCGUAGCCGUAGCUGAAGGAUUCCUAGUGCCGUCGACACAACUAUUUCUGGCGCCGUUGCAAGGGAUACACAGCAAACAUCAAUAUGCAAAAGAAAAGAGAUGUGGAUAAUAACGUGAUUAAGUUGAAGCUUUUUCCUUUCUUGUUGCGAGAUCGCGCAAAAACUUGGUUUUCGUCUUUGCCUAAAAAUAGUAUCAAUUCUCGGGAUAAGUGCAAAGAUGCUUACAUAUCCAAGUAUUUUCCGCUGGCUAAGAUACGUAACAAUAUCAUGAAUUUCAAGCAACUUGAUCAUGAACACGUUGCACAAUCUUGGGAGAGGAUGAAGUUAAUGAUUAGAAAUUGUCCCACUCAUGGCUUGAGUUUGUGGAUGAUUAUACAAAUCUUUUACGCUGGUUUGAAUUUUGCUUCUCGCAAUAUCUUGGACUCCGCCUCUGGUGGAACGUUCAUGGAAAUCACGUUAGGAGACGCUACAAAACUCCUAGACAAUAUCAUGACCAACUACUCUCAGUGGCACACUGAAAGGUCACCUGCUAGCAAAAAGGUACACGCUAUAGAAGAAAUUAACUCGCUUAGUGCUAAGAUGGACGAGUUGAUGAAUUUGGUUGCUAGUAGAAAUGCUCCUUUAGAUCCUAAUGACAUGCCACUAUCUUCCUUGAUUGAGAGUAGCAACGCUAGUUUGGACGUUAAUUUUGUUGGUAGGAACAGUUUUGGCAACAACAAUGCUUUUAGAGGAAUCUAUGUUCCUAGGCCUUUUCCUAGUAACUCCUCUAACAGUUAUGGCAAUUCCUACAACAACACUUAUGGAAAUCACAAGAAACUACCCUCUGAUUUAGAGAGUAAUAUCAAAGAGUUCAUCAACACUCAAAAGAUUUUCAAUGCGUCCAUAGAGGAAAAACUACUCAAAAUAGACGAUUUGGCUAAGAGAGUUGAUAGGAUGUCUUGUGAUAUUGAUGCUUUUAAAGUUAGAUGUGCUCCUCCCAAGGUCAACUUCGACGAAACUUUAAAAGCUAUGCGUGUCUCCAUGAAUGAGAGCAAAGAAAGAACCGCCCCGAUUCGCGCUAGGCAUGAAUGGUUUUAAAAGGGUGUGUUCUAGUGGUGCAAAUCAUGAAGAUCUUAAAGUGCUUGGUGUGACUCCUCUUGAAUCUUUGUUUUCGUGUGUCAAACCUAUUGAUGAAGGGGCUCGAUAUGAAUCCACUUUGGUUGAAAACACCCAAUGUUUCGGAGCUCACCUAUCUUGAUGAUAAAGGUGUGGAGAGUGGAGUAGAAGCAAUCAAAAUUUUGGGUAGUGAUGAAACUCCAACUUUGGAUUUCAAGGAAUUCAAUUAUGAUAGUUGUUCCUUGUUUAAAUGCAUUUCCUUGAUGCAAUCAAUUGCAAACUCUCCACAUGCUUAUAGCCAAAGCAAAGCCUUUACCGCACAUAUCGUAGAUGCUAUGAUGAAAUCUCUUGAAGAGAAGCUCGAAUUUUAAGUCUCUGUACCUAGAAAACUUCAUGAUGAGUGGGAACAUACUAUCGAAAUCAAGAUCAAAAACUAUGAGUGCAAUGCUUUGUGUGAUUUGGGUGCUAGUGUUUCUGCGAUUCCAAAGUCUUUAUGUGAUAUUCUUGGUUUUCAUGAGAUUGAAGAGUGUUCUCUUAAUUUGCAUCUUGCGGAUUCUACUGUCAAGAAACCCAUGGGAAGGAUCAGUGAUGUUCUUAUUGUUGCAAAUAAGAACUAUGUACCCGUGGAUUUCAUUGUACUUGACAUAGAUUGCAAUCCUUCAUGUCCCAUUAUUCUUGGUAGACCUUUCCUAAGGACUAUUGGUGCUAUCAUCGAUAUGAAGGAAGGGAAUAUUAGAUUUCAAUUUCCCCUAAAGAAGGGCAUGGAGCAUUUUCCUAGAAAGAAAAUAAGAUUGCCUUAUGAAUCUAUGAUGAGGGCUACUUAUGGUUUGAGCACCAAAGAUGACUAUACGUGAUUCCAUCACCUUUUGCCUAGCUAAGGGCGUUAAUCAAUAGCGCUUGUUGGGAGGCAACCCAACGAAUCUAUCAUUUUUCUUUCUGUUUUGUGUUUUCCACACUUUCAUAAUUCUGUUAUGAUUGUGUUUUUUGUGUUUUCUUUUUGCGUUUGUGCCAAGCAAAACCGUUAUGAUUAGUCUUGGCGAUGAUCGUUUGGUCAUGCUGGAAAAGACAGAAACUUUCUGGUCACGAAAAGAAUUUUCAUUUUUUUUGUGUAAUAGCUUUUGAGUUUAUUCUUCUUGCUGCUGAUUGCUACACAAAUUCUUCAGACUGUCUUAAUUUUUCAGAAUUUUCGAAGUACCAAAAGUAUAAUGUAACGACCAAGAUGCGGUCCUUUCUGAUCUGGGGGUCGAGGCCCCGAAUAGGAAAGAAGCGCAUCUAAGCGUUUCGCAAGCAAGUAACAUAGCACAAAAUAAUAAUACAAGUAGACAAUUCAGGAUUCAACUGUCUUCUUAUUAAUAACUCAGAGUACAACACAGAUACAAACAAGGUAGUUCCGGUACGGACUACAAAACAUGGAAAAUGCUAUGCUACCCUGCUGCAGGCCCACGAUCACGACCACGGCUCAGUCCUCUGGAUAGUUCACGUAGAGGCGGUCUGUCUCCUCGUCGUACUGCCACGCCAGCUGGGUGCCGUCGGGAUCAUCUGUCUCUGGGGUACCUGUACCUGCUGGGAGUUUCGGAGGAAUCCGUGAGCCACGGGGACUCAGCAAUCUAAGACCUUGGUGACAAAACUAGUCAUGUUAUUGGGUAGGGUAGGGAUGAAGUAUAUCAGGCUGCACUAACCUAUGCUUGAUUAAGUGGCUAACUUACGCAAAGUGGAAGUAAAGGUGGUCUACACUAACGGUCGGACUUACUUGAUCACUAAGUGAUCCUGAACACCUACCUACGGCAUUCAUAACACCACCAUGUUCCCGAACAAAGAGGGAUCUUCGAAGGGACAGUCACGGUUACGCACACAGUUGGCAGUUUUAUUUAUUUAUGUUUAAGUUCUCUAAUAUUGGAUGUUAACAAAGCAUUCCAAGUUGCCACAUAACCGCGGGCACGGCUUUCCGAAAGAUUAAACCCUGCAGGGGUGCUCCAACUAGUCCAUCACAAACGAACACAGGCCGCAAAGGCAUCCUCUAUCACGAAUCUCGUGAUCUAGUCGGAUUCCUUAGAGGAAAACCUCAACUCUGGGGGAACCCAAAGCUUCACUGGGAUUCCUAUACGCAAGAUAUACCGCUAAGGUAAGACAAGGCUAGCAGGACCUCCCGACGUGUCGACGACCCUGAUAAGAGUCGCGUAUCUCAGUCUCAGGACAUGCCGGAUGAGCGAUGGUUACCACGCCAAAACACCGAGUUGCCCCGGGGAGCGUAAUAAGCUGCUCUGGAUUGGACCAACACUCAUGAGGAGCACUGGCCCGGGUUGUUGAUUAAGGAUCCUCGGGGUAGCUACUCCCUAUGCAGAUUAUUAUUAAGUUAUUAGCAAUUUAACACCAAUGUUGGGUCCUUCCGGACAAGCCUUAGCACUACGCGAUUUAUUAAGGGGGUCCCCAUAACAACCCCGAACGUGUUAGGAGCGAUCAUUAUGGAAUCAAACUCCGGUAACCGGUAACUAAGGCGGCAAUAACGGAACAAAGCACCCGGCAAAAGGCUAGGCCUCCCGUCAUUUACCAAGUGUAUAGGUGCAUUAAAUAAAUAACAGAAUUUAAUAUAAUGAUAUCCAGCUCAUGUCAUCACAUGAGUUUAAAACACCUGCAACUGACAAUGCUAACAUUAGUAGCUGAGCAAGCCUACUUAGCCACACAAGUUUGCUAGGAAGGAGUACGGUGUUUGGGCUCAUGUCAUAUGAAGAGGCAAUUUAAUUUCAGUGGUAGGCAGUGAGCAAUAUGACAUGGAAAUGAAACUGACAUAACAAGUCUAGAGAUGGAAUCAAGGUCAUAUCAUCUUGCCUGUGAUAUCCUCAGCUUGGAAUGGUUCUGGAUCGUCCUGCACAUACUCUCCUGACUCCACGUAUUCGUUCUCCGAUCCCGGUGCUACCCAACAUAAGAAUAACAGCCAAUGAACAGCAUCACCACAUGAUGCAACAAUCACAUGAUGCAUGAGAUGAAAGUUGGGCAUGCACCACUAUUUCUAUCACUAGCACAAGCAAAAUAAACUACAACAAGUUUCUGGACAGAACUGUACACUAAGCUAUUUUGACAUGCAUGAGGAUGGCAUGAACAUAUGCGGCUCAUGAAAACGGUGCAAAACCAUAUAAAGAACAUUGCAAACGGAGCUACGGAUCAACGGGAAUCAACGAAACAAGAUAUGAAGCUCUACGUGGAAGAUUCAACACCACACACUCAAAUGGCACAAAUCUGGUAUUCCCAGGUUGCCAAGACCUGUAUCAUUCCAACAUGAAUGAAUUUUAGCAAGGAAUAACACCACAACAUCAAUUAAGCACACACAUUGAUCAAAAUGACAAAACUACCUAAUCUGCCAUAAUCUGCAUCUUAGCUAUUUGGGAGCUACAUGCAACAUAGCUACAGGUCUUCAAACAUGACAAAUAAUAUAUGUGGCUGUUGCCAACCAAUAACACUACAAGCACCAGCAAGAAUCACAUCAAAAGGAAUUAAACUCUAGAAGAUACAAGGUCACAAACUUUCCCAAAACCAUCAGAUCUCAGGGACUUAGUGAAAAUUCCUGCACCUGAGUUUCUGUCUCUGUUCUGAAGCUUUUUGACAGCAAUCAAAACACAACCUACUGGAAUCCAAAUGAUUUGAAAAUUGACAGAAAGCUUCACAAAUAUACCAGGUUCAAAAUCCUAGCACUGAACUAAGGCUAGUUCUCAACAGAAUGACCAGCACAUCCUCAUCUGUAAGAGAAGAAAAUGUUUCCAACAUCCCAGACUUAGUGAAAUUUCAGAGUUCACUAAUCUGGAAUUUUUCAGCCACAUGCCCACUUUGUCUAGGCAUAGUUUGCACACACAUAACACCAAGAGGUAAUUGACACCACUAUGGUGUAUAGCAAAACCCCUACUACUAACACACAAAAAUUCAUGCCCUUGUCCUCCACCUAUUCCAUGGAAUCAAGGCUCAAACUUGCAACAAAACUGAAUAUGCAACUCCAUAAAGCACCCUACUAGGACAACAACUACAAGGGUAGGGUUCAUGUGCACAAUGACAAAGUGACAUGGGGGUUUGAACCCCAUGUUUGUGUCAUGCACAUCAACAUCACAAGCACAUCUACCAAACUAUCCCCACACACAAACUCCAUGCCCUCUCACAUAUAGACAUGUGAAGGUGCAUAGUUUUGCAAAGGUGGGGAAGUUCCACACACACACAUAUACUCCACAUCAUUCACAUCAACAUCAUGCUCUAGAUCAACACACAAACCUACACAUACUAAACAUAGCUUGCACCACAUGGCAAACAUACACACACCAUAGGAUCUAGCAACUCUAUACAUACAUGCACUCAACAAAAAUGCACUUCUAAGCAGGAUAAAGCUAAAAGAUCUCCUACACAUGAUUUUAGCUACAUAUGCACCCCUAGUGCAAACACACACACACUCUUAUGCACAUAAACACCCCUUGUGUGUGUGCCACCAUGCACACACACCACACUCACAUAUCUUACCUACACCACUACAACUUCUGGACAGGAAAAGGAAAACAAGAUGCACUCCUUUGUGCCUAUUAUUUAGGCACAAGGUGUAACAGCAAAUAGCAAAGGAAAAUUAAAAGAAAGAAAGGGAAAAAAUGGCAAAAGGGGGCUGGAAGGGAUUCGAACCCUGCACCACCUAGUGCACCACACUGUAUUCUACCACUCUUCUGCUAGCAUAGUUUUGACAGAGAGAGAGGGACAUAACAGGUUAACCCCUCCCUGCUGCUGCUACUGCUAUCAACCAAAGAAAAGAAAACCCAAAAAGGAAGGAGGUGCACCACUUGGGACUCGAUCCCUGCACCUCUCGGUGAAUCACGGGGCUCUCUACCACUGCGCUACGAACGAGAUAACUGACAAAGGAGGGCACGCGAACAAGGUAUACUACCCCCACUGCAGCUCUGCCCUGCACGCACAGAGACAUGCCCACGACAGGGAAGGGACACCAGCACCUCGCCGUGCUGCUGCUGCUUCUCCACUGAAGGAACCUACCGGUACGGGACGACGCUACGAGGGGGGAGGGAGCCCGUGCUACCUCUACUCUCCUGCAACCCGCACCUACAGGGAGCCAACAAGCACACAAACAUACCGAAGCUGUGCUGCUUCGAUAGAGGAGCACAGCGACAGGGAAGAACGCCGGCGUUCUCUGCUGAGCAACUACUACCACGCUACAAAGGAGGAAAAACCCCAGGCUUCGAGGGGGGGGGUAACCCUACUGCUACACAACACACACGCACAUGCAAAGCUUCAGACUGCACGUACACCUGCUGCUAUUGCACGGCAGGGACUUGCUGCAGCCGGAUCGUCGGACCCAACGAGGGAGGAGGGAGGAGAGGGUCGGCUCACCUCGGGGAAAGAAGGAGGAGCCGCUCGGGAGGAAGUCGCCGGCGGUUCGCUGCUGUCGACGAAGUAGAGGAAGACGACGGGAACUCCGGGGCCGAGGCGAUGGCGCGCUCCUGGCCCUCAUUGUGGUCGCCCCUCGUCCUCAACGCUGGUGGGAAUGGGUCGCGGGGAGCCUCCCCGAGCCCGUGGACAUGGCCACCGGCGCCGGAGACGACGGGAGGACGGCGUAGACGCGGCGGAGCUCCUCUGCUUCCUCUGCUACUGUCUACAAGAGACUUACCAGAGACGAAAGAGGAGAAAGGAGGGAGGUGGCGGCGCUGGGGAGAAGGAGAGGGAACCCUAGGGGAGGAGGAGGGUUCCCUCCACCUUAUAUCACCUCGGGGAAGACGCUGGAGCCACAGGAUCAACGGGAGGUGAUCGGGAGGUGGAGCUGCGUUCGUACGUGCAUGACGUCGGGAGGAAGAAGAGGUGUCUCGCGUGGGCUGCUACAUUGCUCGAAGGGGUAUGGGCCUAGGAGAGAAACUGGGCCUCUCUGGGUGGGAGGGAGCCCACCAGAGAAGGAAAAAAGAAACAGCCUUGGCAUUAUUCCUAAUUAGGUAAAAAAACAGAGAAAGAAAAGAAACCCUCAGGACUACUGCUGAUAGUAAAAAUCAAAACAAAAAUGUCCCUGGGCCUAAAAAUACCUAAGCUUUUAAAAUAAAAUGCUAAAGGAAUUUUAUGGGGCAUUUAAAUAAAUACAAAACAUCAAUUAAUUAUACUGUUUUGUGAUUUAUAUACACCCUCAAGACCAAAAUAAAACUCCACAUCAUCACAUCAUCAUCCCCACAAUAACCUCUAAAUACAAGACAUUUUAAAACAGCUCUUGUGAAGAGGGAAUUUGAACAUGAGAAAAUAGGAGAGGAAAAGGGUUUGAAAGUUGCAAUGGUCUUUGAAAAUCCCAAGCAACCACUCCUACACUCCACACACCAUCAUCACAUGACAUCACACAUGAAAUCACAAGGUAGCUAACCACAAGAUCACCACCUACAUUUAUUACUAACACCACAAGAAAUCAUAGUGCAACAACUCAGGUAAGGGCAUGCAAUGAUAUGCUAUGCAUGCAUGCAUGAGAAGGAAAUAGAAGGAACACACAUGAAAUCAUGGUAUCAACUUUAACAUCAUAACCUCUGACAAGGUGGUCCACAUGAAGUAGGUCCAAAAAGGGUAGGUUCUACACUUGGGGCAUUACAUAUACGAAGUAUACAUAUUGCUACAGACUGGUCUGGUGUUAACAGAUUUUGUUUUUGUUGAGUUGGUUGCUUAUUUUGAUGAAACUAUGGAUAGUAUCGGGGGGUAUUAGCCAUGGAAUAUUGAAAAUACAGUAACCCAACAUCAACAUAAGUAGAAUUUAAGUUUUCUACACUACCUAAGGAAGUGGUGGUUUGCUUUCUUAUACUAAUGUUAGCAUGAGUUUCUGUUUAAGUUUCGUGUUGUGAAGUUUUCAAGUUUUGGGUGAAGUUCUUAUGGACAAAGAGAUAAAGAGUGGCAAGAGCUCAAGCUUGGGGAUGCCCAAGGCACCCCAAGUUGAUUCAAGGAUGUCGUAAAAUCCUAAGCUUGGGGAUGCCCCGGGAAGGUAUCCCCUCUUUCGUCUUCAAUCCAUCGGUAACGUUACUUGGGGCUAUAUUUUUAUUCACCACAUGUUAUGUGUUUUGCUUGGAGCGUCUUGUAUCAUAGGAGUCUUCUUUUUGUGUCACAAUCAUCCUUGCUUCACACCUAGAGAGAGAGACAUGCACUUACCGUGAUUUUGUCGAGCUUCACUUAUAGCCUCCCUCAAAACAGCCACCAUACAUACCUACUAUGGCUUUUUCAAAGCUAUUCCGAGAUAUAUUGCCAUACGACUACCACCAUGACAUGUGCCACCACUUCUACAUUGCCAUUGCAUGAUCAUAAGAUAGCUAGCAUGGUGUUUCCAUUUAUGUCUAUGCCAUUCUAGAUCAAUGUCACGGUACACUACCGAAGGCAUUCCAUAUAGAGUAAUCAUUUCUCUAAGUUUUGAGUUGUAAGUGUGAUGGACAUCAUUGAUGGUGCAUUGUCCCAUGUGAGUAAAUAGAAGAGGCCAAAGAUGCCCACCAAAAGAAAGAGGCCAAAGAGCCCACCAAAAAAAUGAGAGAAAAAGAGAGAAGGGACAAUGCUACUAUCUUUCCACACUUGUGCAUAUUAAGCACCAUGAUCUUCAUGAUUGAGAGUCUUUCGUUUUGUCACCACCAUAUAGCUAGUGGGAAAUUUUAAUUAUAUAACUUGGGUUGUAUAUUCCAAUGAUAGGCUUCCUCAAAAUUGCCUUAGUUCUUCGUGAGCAAGCAAGUUGGAUGCACACCCACUAGUUUUCUUUAAGAGCUUUCACAUACUCUUAGCUCUAGUGCAUCAUUUGUAUGGAAAUCCCUACUCAUUCACGUUGAUAUCUAUUAAUGAGCAUCUCCAUAGCUCAUUGAUAUGCCUAGUCAAUGUGACCAUCUUCUCCUUGUUUGCCUUGCAACCUCCACCACACUCCAUUCCACUUAUAGUGCUAAAACCAUGGCUCACGCUCAUGUAUUGCGUGAGAGUUGAAAAAGUUUGAGAAAGUAAAGGUGUGAAAAAAUUACUUGGCCAAUACCGGGGUUGUGCAUGAUUUAAAUUCGUUGUGCAAGGAUGAUAGAGCAUAGCCAGACUAUAUGAUUUUGUAGGGAUAACUUUCUUUUGGCCUUGUUAUUUCGAAAGUUCAUGAUUACCUUGCUAGUUUGCUUGAAUUAUUAUUGUCUCCACGUCAAUAGCAAACUAUUAUUUUGAAUCUAAUGGAUCUGAACAUUCACGUCACAUAAGAGGAGUUACAAAGGACAUCUAUGCUAGGUAGCAUGAAAGCAUCAAAAAUUCAUUCUUUAUCACUUCCCUACUAGAGGACGAGCAGGAGUUAAGCUUGGGGAUGCUUGAUACGUCUCAAACGUAUCUAUAAUUUUUGAUGGUUUCACGCUGUUAUCUUGUCAACUUUGGAUGUUUUAUAUACAUUUUAUAUCUUUUUUGGGACUAACUUAUUAAUUCAGUGCCAAGUGCUAGUUCCUGUUUUUUCUGUGUUUUUGACUCUUUUCAGAUCUGAUUUUGGAACGGAGUCCAAACGGAAUAAAAUCCCUGAAAUAAAUUUUUCCAGAACAGAAGAAGAUCGGGAGGCUUGAGGGCCAAGGCAGUGGGCCCACAGGGAGCCCACAAGCCCUGUUGCCGCGGCCAGGGGGCCUGCGGCAACCAGGCUUGUGGCCUCCCUGGCGCUCCCCUGCCCUAGCUCUUUGGCCUAUAAAUUCCCUAAAAAUCCAGAAAAAAUCAGGGCAUCCACGAAAACACUUUUCCGCCACUGCAAGCUUCCGUUUCCGCGAGAUCUCAUCUGGAGACCCUUCCCGGUGCCCUGCCAGAGGGGACUUUGGAGUUGGAGGGCUUCUACAUCAAUAUCAUCGCCUCUCCAAUGACUCAUGAGUAGUCCACUUCAGACCUACGGGUCCGUAGUUAGUAGCUAGAUGGCUUCUUCUCUCUCUUGGAUCUUCAAUACAAAGUUCUCCAUGAUCUUCAUGCAGAUCUAUCCGAUGUAAUCCUCUUUGGCGGUGUGUUUGUCGAGAUCCGAUGAAUUGUGUAUUUGUGAUCAGANNNNNNNNNNNNNNNNNNNNNNNNNNNNNNNNNNNNNNNNNNNNNNNNNNNNNNNNNNNNNNNNNNNNNNNNNNNNNNNNNNNNNNNNNNNNNNNNNNNNAUAUCAUCACGCGUAAAUUCGAGAUUAUGUCCUAAACACGGAAAAUAAACUAGCGGCAAAUCCCUACACGCAAAAAUACCAAUGACUACUCUAAAAUACAUGGCAAAGGGGUUCCUAAAUCAUGAACUUUUUUUCUACGGCAUACGAGCAAUCCGGGCACGUACGUGAAAUAACUAUGGAACGAAUCCUAUUGGGAGAGCACGUAAAACUAUGCAUUUGGCAUGCUAAACUACGUCAAACAAUUAUGCACGUUGCAAAUUCGAAUUCUACACGAGAUUCUACACAAAAACCAUAUGCUAGACAUCGCGAUCCGACUUACGGAUUAAAAGUUACGUGCAAUUAUAUAUACGUCUAUUUGCUGAAAUAUAACUAAUUCCAAAAAAAAUCUACUAAACCCUAUCAGGUCGAAACCUAAGGCGCAUCACAACUAGAUCUCGCUACGCGCGAAGGAAAGCUCACCUUGGGGGGGCCUCUUGGGCCGGCUCGGGCUGGAAGGAGUAGGCUGGCUCGGGGCUAUUGGCUUGGGCCGUGAGGCAGCCCAGCUGGCGAGCGAGACGCUGGCUCGAUGACGCUGGCAGCGGCCCACCUGGCCGGUCAACGCGCAAGCGGGUGAGGGCUCGUGCCCUCCACGAUCCCGCCUGGAUCGGGAGGCCGGCCGGCUACAACCGGUGACGGGGCAACUGCCGGGGACGGGAGGCACGGAUCUGUAGGGCGGGUGGCGCACCGGCAAGGGCGCGGGGGCGCAGAGGCACGGUAUCCGGCGCGGGGCAUGGAUCCGAGCGACGGAAGGCGCGCCAUGGCUGGGCUGCCAGCUCCGGCGAGCUGCUGCUGGCGGCGGGGCAGGGUUCUGGCGGCGGCUAGCCGUGGCAGAGGCAGGCGGCGACCAGUGGCUGGACGCGUGGGCUCUGGCGGGGCUCGGGAGGAGCUCGGCCAUGAGGCUGCUGCUUCGGGAGGAGGGAGCUCACGAGCCAGCGGCGGCUGGUGCGGCUUGGCCCAGAUCGGGCCCAGGCGGGCCUGCUACGGGCUCAUGGGGCCGACGGCUGCGCUGAGGAGGGAGGGAGGAUAGAGAGAGUGGGGGGCCAGGGUUUCUGGCGUGGAUCCCGAGGUGGAUGGAGGGGGCUGUUAAAAAUAACCUGGGGGUCCUAUUUAUAGGCAAAGGGGGGCUAGGUUUAGCGAAAUUCCGCCCCGGUUCCGACUGCGCGGUCGGAUUCAAAUAAUUCCGAACGCGGGACGGACUAAAUGGUCGUGUAGAGUAGUUAUCCGGAGAUGAGAGGGAAAACGGGCGACGCGGCAACGAUUUUUAAAACACCGGCAACCGUCCGAUGGUAGACCGAAUACGGUGCCGCUACGGUCGACCGUUCGGGUACCACACGUGCUCCGAUCGCGACGAAACUUGACAUGCGGCCUACCUAUAUUAAAAUAAGACCGCACGUCAAAUUCCAACCGAAUUAGAGAAAGUUUUAUACACACUUUUAAAACAGGUUUUUUUUACGAUGUCGCAGGCGCGUGUGUGUGCGGUCAGGCUCGGAAUGGACAACGACGAGAACCGGCAACUAACAACGGAUGCAACUUUUGAAAACUGGCGGCAACGGAGANNNNNNNNNNAUGCAUAUGAUGCACAUGAUGCGAUGAUGAUGCGACAAAAGAAAAUAGACACUCGACGAAAACGGAAUAGAAGGGGAAUCUUCUGGAACGUCGGCAUCGGGCUGUCACAACUCUCCUACACUACAAGAGGUUCUCGCCCCGAGAUCCAAGAAUGAAAGGGGGAGAGGAUGAGAAAGGAAGAGGUAAAACUUAAUCGCUUCUUUGACAACCGAGUGAAACCAACGAUCCUUGAAGGUUGCAAAGCGAUGAGGAAUGAUAUGAGAAAGAAGCAAGAAUUCACGGAAAAUUUCGGCAGCACUUCGGUAGGAAAAGGGGACAAAAAAUCGAUAGAGAAAUACACAAUAUUCAUAACAAACAACUAAAUAGAACAAGGGCACACCAAGAUCUUGAUAGAACAACAUGAUUGAACCAAAAGAGCAACAUUACAAUGCCUCCGGAACAAGAGAAUAAAACUAGCUCAUACGGAAGAAGANNNNNNNNNNUGGCAGCAUUUCGGUAGGAAAAGGGGACAAAAAAUUCGAGAAGAUGGGAGAAAUAGACAAUAUUCAUAACAAACAACUAAAUAGAACAAGGGAACACCAAGAUCUUGAUAGAACAACAUGAUUGAACCAAAAGAGCAACAUCACAAUGCCUCCGGAACAAGAGAAUAAAACUAGCUCAUACGGAAGAAGAGAAUGAAGAAAAGAAUGACAACUAUUAUCACAAGAAUCUUGAAGAACAACUCAGAAUGGAUUGAAACCUUGAUGAACCACCCUGAAGAACCACCGUAUACAAUUGAAUGAUGCAAAGAUAAGAAGGUAGAAAAGAAUAGGAUUAUGACCUUGCCAAGAUUUAGAUGAAGCCUCACAAAGAGAUAUUUAAAAGAACUUGGAACUUUGGUAAAGAAAGAUAAGCGCUUGAGAAAAGAAUUGAUAUCACGAGCCACUCCGGAAGAAGAAUUCAGAUUACCAUGAACAAGAAUAAAAAUUACGUUAUGCUUAUCCUUCAUCAAGUUUAAUUGAUGACAAGCAACGAAUUUNNNNNNNNNNAGAUUAUGACCUUGCCAGAUGAAGCCUCGUGAAGAGAUAUUUAAAAGAACUUGGAACUCUGGAAAAGAAAUAUAAGCGCUUGAGAAAAGAAUUGAUAUCAUGAGCCACUCCGGAAGAAGAAUUCAGAUUGCCAUGAACAAGAAUAAGAAUUAUGUUAUGCUUAUCCUUCAUCAAGUUUAAUUGAUGACAAGCAACGAAUUUAACAUAACACUUAUUCUUCUGAAAAGAUUGAGGAGAGUAUGAGCACAAACUAGAAGAAUUGUUGCAAGAAACACCGGUGAGAAUUGAAAUGAACGAGGCAACCAUGAAUGAAUGGAGAUACAUGAGAAUGAAGAGAUCAUGAGGCACCUGAGAGAAAACUAGAACAAGGCACCAGAAUAAUUGAGAGAUGAACGAAGAGGCAACACUGGAGAAGAAUUUGAGAAUGAAAGCUGCAAGCUGAGAACGAACAAAAUCUUCUAGAUGAUGGCCUUCGGAGGAUCGAGAAUGAAAACAACUCAGAAAAGCACCGGAUAGCAAGAAAUGGAUUCUCAUGAUCGACAACAAUUAAGAUGAUGGCACAAAGCUGAAAUGAUAUCUUCAAGAGAAUGGACUAAGAUUUGAGAGAAACACCCCUUUGGUCUUCAAAGCUGAAAAAGAUGACGAGAAACAACACCAAGGAAAACUGAGAUACUCCAGAAUAAUGAAGAAUGAAAGGUCGAGCCAAUUAUGAGAAAUAAUUCGAAUAGAUCUUGAAGAAGUAAUAUGACUGAUGGAAAUCAUACUUACGUCAUAGUUGAAAAGAUUUAGAGAUCUCCAGAAAAUUAGAAGAGACAUAUAAGAUCCUAGGAAAUACCUGUGGGUUAUGGGCCCACUCAAAGAAACAACCGUUGAAAAGAUUGCUAGAAAGAGAGAUAUUGCACCUGUAUAAAGAAAACUAGAUGAGGUUGAGGACCUUGAAAUAAUUGAAAGGAUCGAGAAUCAGGACUUCUGAAAUAUCUUCAACACUCCGGAUAGAAUAGAGAGAAAAGAAUAACCACAUGGGUUGAUAAGAAUUUCCAUCAUAGGAAAGAAUUACAAGGAUGAAAAGGAUAAGUUGACACGGAUAACUGAAUUGAAUUCACCAGAAAAGGUAACAAGAUUGACUAAAUAUGAACUCGAGGUUCUUGAGAAUCUUCACAAUGGACCACCGGAUAAGAGAGAAAACAAAAGAUCGCGGAAGCAAAUUAAAAGGCACUUGGAUGAAAAUUGAAUCACUAAAGAAAAGGGUGGGGGAGGGAAAAACAAAAACAACUCAGAACAGAUGAGACAAACUCCAGUAAGAAUUGAAAGAAUGAUCUGCAAAUAUUGGAGAGGAUUGAAUUCACUUGAAGAGAAGCACACCGGUUGGAAAAGAAUUAACAUGACGACUCCGGUUGAGAAGAAUUGAUAAGACAAUUGAUUAAGCAAAAUGAUUAGCACUGUCAUAAGAAUAAGAGAACACCACUUAGGAAAGAUCUGAAUCACCACUUGACAUUGAAGCAACUUGAAUUUCCAAACUCCAACAAAACAAAGGAUGCAACUUGCAAUUAGCCAGAACAAACUCAUGAGAAAGAUUUCGUCCGAUAUUUUCAUCGACAGGAUCGCACGGGCUCGAUCUUACAGUAGCCAUCAUGUACAAGGUAGUGCACACGACAUAUGAAGCGUCCCCGAGUCGUAGCAAGCUACAAGGACUCUCUAAGACACAACGAGAACUGCUGUAAGUCGACCAUCAACAAACGAAUCCACUAGAUGUCGAACCCCAACCUAACAUCAUGCACUUAUUGGAAGAUUGUCCUAUAAGUAACUACUUGAAUUCCCACCUAAUAAUUCCCGAAAUUUCUGGUCACGCAAUCUGGUACACGGAUACAAGGAGUAAUAUGUCACACAACUCCUAUACUAACCCAUCACCUGUAUCACAUCCGUCAACACAUAACCAGAAUCUCGGACCUUCAUCUACUACAGACCCUCGUGAUCACAACGAUACAAAGUAUGGCAGUACUCCCGAACAAUCUGCACCAGUACUGGGGACAUCGGGGUUAUCUCGCCACUACUAGUAUUGAAGCAAUUACGAACAUCCUUCGAUCUGAGAUACUAAGAAAUGUGAAUGAUAGCGAUGUGCUCGAGAAUCCCCUGGAGCUCAACUCCCCGGAAGAAAUCAAGUCGGACAUGAGGCACCAAGACAAAACUCCGUCACAUCGGCAUCAUAUAGAUUCCAAAAAUAUCCGUGUGAUCCUAAAAAAAAUUUGAGUGAGAAGAGGAGUAGAACAAAUUAUUACGUCAAGAUUCCUGACCAGAGCAUAGAAGAGGAGAAAAAAGAAACCUACUCUCUGAUACAUAACUAGACUCAAAGUAGUUUUUCACUAGACUCGACUCCGCUAAGUUCGAUCAAUCAAGGGGGCUCCUAGGUCGGUACUGCUCUGAUACCAACUUGUCACGCCCAAGANNNNNNNNNNCGGGGGCCUCGUCGGGGAUAGAAGCGCAUCUCGUCGUUUCGCAAGAAUGGAUAUCGUUACAAGUACAUGUACUAAAAAGAUGAGAUAUAUGGAAUUGGCUUACACUCACCACAGGCUACAUCAAAGUCACAACAGUACAAUACAUAAACAACAUGAAGAAGAGCAGGGUCUGACUACGGACGAAAACAAACGAGAAAAGAAAAAACGACGUCCAUCCUUGCUAUCCCAGGCUGCCAGCCUGGAACCCGUCCUAGAUCAAUGAAGAAGAAGAAGAAGCAACUCCAAAUGAACAAUCAACGCACUCGCGUCAAGUAACCUUUACCUAUACCUCCCGCUGGUGUUGUAGUAAUCUGUGAGCCACAGGGGACUCAACAAUCUCAUUUCCAAAGGUAUCAAGACUAGCAAAGCUUAAUGGGUGAGGUAAGGUUAAGUGGUGAAGUUGCAACAGCGGCUAAGCAUAUAUUUGGUGGCUAAACUUACGAGUAUAAGAAAUAAGAGAGAAAGAUCUACGCAUAGCGGACGUGACUACUGAUGAUCAAAUGAAUGAUCCUGAACACCUACCUACGUCAGACAUAACCCCACCGUGUCCUCGAUCGGAGAAGGAACUCAUGAAAGAGACAGUCACGGUUACGCACUCAGUUGGCAAGUUUUAAUUAAGUUAACUUCAAGUUAUCUAGAACCAGUGUUAAACAAAGUUUCCACGUUGCCACAUAUUCGCGUGGACGGCUUUCCGAAAGAUUUAACCCUGCAGGGGUGCUCCAACUAGUCCAUCACAAAUUACCACAAGUCGCAUAGAAAUCCUCGAUCACGAAGCUCGCAAUCUCGUGGGACUCCUUAGUGGAAAACCUCAACUCUGUGAUUACCCAAAGCAUCACNNNNNNNNNNCAACCCCACCGUGUCCUCGAUCGGAGAAGGAAUUCACGAAAGAGACAGUCACGGUUACGCACUCAGUUGGCAAGCUUUAAUUAAGUUAACUUCAAGUUAUCUAGAACCAGUGUUAAACAAAGUUUCCACGUUGCCACAUAACCGCGGGACGGCUUUUCGAAAGAUUUAACCCUGCAGGGGUGCUCCAACUAGUCCAUCACAAAUUNNNNNNNNNNCCGCAUGGAAAUCCUCGAUCACGAAGCUCGCAAUAUCGUCGGACUCCUUAGUGGAAAACCUCAACUCUGUGAUUACCCAAAGCAUCACCGGAAUCCCGAUGCACAAGAUAUCUCGUCAAAGGUAAAACUAAUCCAGCAAGGCCGCCUGGCGUGUCGACCAUCCCGAUAGGAGCCGCGUAUCUCGUUCUCAGGACACGACGGAUGAGCAGAGCGUACGGUGGCCUGAUAGAAAUCUCCCGAGUUGCCCCGGGUUGGCCCCGCAAACGGCUCUAGUUUUUGGACCAGCACCAUCNNNNNNNNNNCAGCGUGUCGACGAUCCCGAUAAGAGCCGCGUAUCUCGUUCUCAAGACACGACGGAUGAGCACAGCGUACGGUGGCCUGAUAGAAAUCUCCCGAGUUUCCCCGGGUUGGCCCCGCAAACGGCUCUAGUUUUUGGACCAGCACCAUCAGCACUGGCCCCCCUGUAUUAUGUAAAAUUACUCCUCCUGUUCAUGACGCCCUAUGCUUUCAGUAUUAACAAAAUUAUUAUGUUGGGCAAAUGUAGUACCAAUGUUGGGCCUUGCCCGACCAGCUUUAAUCUAAGAUGAAUUAUCAAGGGGGUCCUCAUAACAACCCCGAUCGUGUUAGGAGCGCUCAAUUAUUGAACAUAACACCGGUAGCCGAAACUAAGGGGGCAAAGGUGGAACAAAACACCAGGCUAGAAAGGCCAAGCCUUCCACCUUUUACCAAGUAUAUAGGUGCAUUAAAAUAAAUAACAAUUAAUAUGGUGACAUAACAAAGAACCCAUGUUCUCAGAUGGAAGCAACUCCACCUGCAACUAGCAACGCUAACACAAGGUUGAGCAAGCGGUAACAUAGCCAAUCAGUGGUUUGCUAGGUUGAACAGGUUGAAGGUUUUCAUGGAAUUGUUGAGAGGCUGAUAUUUAACAGGUGGUAGGCAACGAGACAUAAUGGAUAGAAGCAAUAAAACUAGCAUGGCAAUGAUAGUAAUGGUAUCUGGGGAAAUGGUCAUCUUGCCUGAGAUCCCGCUUGGAAGAAGAAUGACUCUGCGAAGCAGACGAACCGAUGUAGUCGAACGGGUCCUCACUUCCGACACACUUGCGGAACUCUAUCGAGUCGGAGGAAACCGGAAACAAGCAACAACACAUGAUAUUCACCACACGAUGCACAACACAUACGAUGCAUGAGNNNNNNNNNNNNNNNNNNNNNNNNNNNNNNNNNNNNNNNNNNNNNNNNNNNNNNNNNNNNNNNNNNNNNNNNNNNNNNNNNNNNNNNNNNNNNNNNNNNNGUAUACCGACGAUCGAAUCUCGGGCAAGUUCUAUACCGACAGACAAAGGGAAUCGUAUACGGGAUUGAUUGAAUCCUUGACAUCGUGGUUCAUCCGAUGAGAUCAUCGUGGAGCUAGUGGGAGCCACCAUGGGUAUCCAGACCCCGCUGAUGGUUAUUGACCAGAGAGGUGUCUCGGUCAUGUCUGCCUGUCUCCCGAACCCGUAGGGUCUACACACUUAAGGUUCGAUGACGCUAGGGUUAUAGGAAAUUGUUAUACGAGAUUACCGAAAGUUGUUCGGAGUCCCGGAUGAGAUCCCGGACGUCACGAGGAGCUCCGGAAUGGUCCGGAGGUAAAGAUUGAUAUAUAGGACGGAUGGUUUCGGACACCGGAAGUGUUUCGGGCAUCACCGGUAACGUACCGGGACCACCAGGACCACCGGAGGUGGUCCUGGGGGACCACCGAAGGGGGGCUGCGACCCCAAGAGGUAAGAUGGGCUAAGUGGGGAAGGGAACCAGCCCCUAAGUGGGCUGGUGCGCCCCCCACCCAGCCCAUGAGCACCAGGAAAAAGGGGAGAGGGGGAACCCUAAUUUAGGUGGGCCUUAGGCCCACCAGAGGGGUGCGCCACCCCUCCCCCUUGCCCUGGCCGCCACCCCUCUCCCAUCUAAGGGCUUCCGCACCCCUUAGGGNNNNNNNNNNNNNNNNNNNNNNNNNNNNNNNNNNNNNNNNNNNNNNNNNNNNNNNNNNNNNNNNNNNNNNNNNNNNNNNNNNNNNNNNNNNNNNNNNNNNUGCCGCCACAAGCUUCCGUUUCCGCGAGAUCUUAUCUAGAGAUCCUUCCCGGUGCCCUGCCGGAGGGGACUUUGGAGUUGGAGGGAUUCUACAUCAACAUCAUCGCCUCUCCAAUGACUCGUGAGUAGUCCACUUCAGAUCUACGGGUCCGUAGUUAGUAGCUAGAUGGCUUCUUCUCUCUCUUGGAUNNNNNNNNNNGGGUCCGUAGUUAGUAGCUCGAUGGCUUCUUCUCUCUCUUGGAUCUUCAAUACAAAGUUCUCCAUGAUCUUCAUGCAGAUCUAUCCGAUGUAAUCCUCUUUGGCGGUGUGUUUGUCGAGAUCCGAUGAAUUGUGUAUUUGUGAUCAGAUUAUCUUUGAAUUAUAUUUGAGUCUUUGCUGAUUUCUUAUAUGCAUGAUUUGAUAUCCUUGUAAUUCUCUUUGAGUCUUGGUUUUUUUUGGCCAACUAGAUCUAUGAUUCUUGCAAUGGGAGAAGUGCUUGGUUNNNNNNNNNNUCGUGUGGUGACCUUUCCCAGUGACAGAAGGGGCAGCAAGGCACGCAUCAUGUUGUUGCCAUCAAGGGUAACAAGAUGGGCUUUUAACGUAGAGAUGAGAUUAUCCAUCUACAUCAUGUCAUCUUGCUUAAGGCGUUACUCUAUUCUUUUGGACUUAAUACACUAGAUGCAUGCUGGAUAGCGGUCGACGUGUGGAGUAACAGUAGUAGAUGCAGAAAGUAUUGGUCUACUUGUUUUGGAUGUGGUGCCUAUAUAUAUAAUCAUUGCCUUAGAUAACGCCGCGACUUUGCGCGGUUCUAUCAAUUGCUUGACAGUAAAUCGUUCACCCACCGUCUACUUGCUUUCAUGAGAGAAGCCACUAGUGAACACUACGGCCCCCGGGUCUAUUCACAACNNNNNNNNNNACUUUGUUUUGGGUUCAUACCGUGUGGUGACCUUUCCCAGUGACAGAAGGGGCAGCAAGGCAUGCAUCGUUUUGUUGCCAUCAAGGGUAACAAGAUGGGCUUUUAUCGUAGAUAUGAGAUUGUCCAUCUACAUCAUGUCAUCUUGCUUAAGGCGUUACUCUGUUCUUUUGGACUUAAUACACUAGANNNNNNNNNNNNNNNNNNNNNNNNNNNNNNNNNNNNNNNNNNNNNNNNNNNNNNNNNNNNNNNNNNNNNNNNNNNNNNNNNNNNNNNNNNNNNNNNNNNNCCGAGUGAUAGUAGGGGCAACAAGGCACACAUCAAGUAGUUGCCAUCAAGGGUAAAAAGAUGGGGGUUUUAUCAUUGGUUUGAGAUUAUCCCUCUACAUCAUGUCAUCUUGCUUAAGGCGUUUCUCUGUUCUUAUGGACUUAAUACACUAGAUGCAUGCUGGAUAGCGGUCGACGUGUGGAGUAAUAGUAGUAGAUGCAGAAAGUAUCAGUCUACUUGUUUCAGACGUGAUACCUAUAGAAAUAAUCAUUGCAUAGAUAUCGUCACGACUUUGCGCAGUUNNNNNNNNNNUAGAAAGUAUCGGUCUACUUGUUUCGGACGUGAUGCCUAUAGAAAUAAUCAUUGCAUAGAUAUCGUCACGACUUUGCGCAGUUCUAUCAAUUGCUCGACUGUAAUUUGUUCACCCACCUUCUACUUGCUUUUAUGAGAGAAGCCACUAGUAAACACUACGGCCCCCGGGUCUAUUCACAUCCAUCGUUUACAUCUCCGCUUUUAAUUUGCUUUGUUACUUUGUUGCUUUCAGUUCUCACUUGGCAAACAAUCUAUAAGGGAUUGACAACCCCUUCAUAGCGUUGGGUGCAAGCUUUUGUGUUUGUGCAGGAUCUUGAGAUACUCUUCCGUCGAAUUGAUACCUUGGUUCUCAAACUGAGGGAAAUAUUUACCGUCGCUGUGCUACAUCACCCUUUCCGCUUCGAGGGAACACCAACGCAAGGCUCCAAGGCCACGGGGGAAAUCCUUUGCNNNNNNNNNNNNNNNNNNNNNNNNNNNNNNNNNNNNNNNNNNNNNNNNNNNNNNNNNNNNNNNNNNNNNNNNNNNNNNNNNNNNNNNNNNNNNNNNNNNNAGUGCCGUCGACACAACUAUUUCUGGCGCCGUUGCAAGGGAUACACAGCAAACAUCAAUAUGCAAAAGAAAAGAGAUGUGGAUAAUAACGUGAUUAAGUUGAAGCUUUUUCCUUUCUUGUUGCGAGAUCGCGCAAAAACUUGGUUUUCGUCUUUGCCUAAAAAUAGUAUCAAUUCUCGGGAUAAGUGCAAAGAUGCUUACAUAUCCAAGUAUUUUCCGCUGGCUAAGAUACGUAACAAUAUCAUGAAUUUCAAGCAACUUGAUCAUGAACACGUUGCACAAUCUUGGGAGAGGAUGAAGUUAAUGAUUAGAAAUUGUCCCACUCAUGGCUUGAGUUUGUGGAUGAUUAUACAAAUCUUUUACGCUGGUUUGAAUUUUGCUUCUCGCAAUAUCUUGGACUCCGCCUCUGGUGGAACGUUCAUGGAAAUCACGUUAGGAGACGCUACAAAACUCCUAGACAAUAUCAUGACCAACUACUCUCAGUGGCACACUGAAAGGUCACCUGCUAGCAAAAAGGUACACGCUAUAGAAGAAAUUAACUCGCUUAGUGCUAAGAUGGACGAGUUGAUGAAUUUGGUUGCUAGUAGAAAUGCUCCUUUAGAUCCUAAUGACAUGCCACUAUCUUCCUUGAUUGAGAGUAGCAACGCUAGUUUGGACGUUAAUUUUGUUGGUAGGAACAGUUUUGGCAACAACAAUGCUUUUAGAGGAAUCUAUGUUCCUAGGCCUUUUCCUAGUAACUCCUCUAACAGUUAUGGCAAUUCCUACAACAACACUUAUGGAAAUCACAAGAAACUACCCUCUGAUUUAGAGAGUAAUAUCAAAGAGUUCAUCAACACUCAAAAGAUUUUCAAUGCGUCCAUAGAGGAAAAACUACUCAAAAUAGACGAUUUGGCUAAGAGAGUUGAUAGGAUGUCUUGUGAUAUUGAUGCUUUUAAAGUUAGAUGUGCUCCUCCCAAGGUCAACUUCGACGAAACUUUAAAAGCUAUGCGUGUCUCCAUGAAUGAGAGCAAAGAAAGAACCGCCCCGAUUCGCGCUAGGCAUGAAUGGUUUUAAAAGGGUGUGUUCUAGUGGUGCAAAUCAUGAAGAUCUUAAAGUGCUUGGUGUGACUCCUCUUGAAUCUUUGUUUUCGUGUGUCAAACCUAUUGAUGAAGGGGCUCGAUAUGAAUCCACUUUGGUUGAAAACACCCAAUGUUUCGGAGCUCACCUAUCUUGAUGAUAAAGGUGUGGAGAGUGGAGUAGAAGCAAUCAAAAUUUUGGGUAGUGAUGAAACUCCAACUUUGGAUUUCAAGGAAUUCAAUUAUGAUAGUUGUUCCUUGUUUAAAUGCAUUUCCUUGAUGCAAUCAAUUGCAAACUCUCCACAUGCUUAUAGCCAAAGCAAAGCCUUUACCGCACAUAUCGUAGAUGCUAUGAUGAAAUCUCUUGAAGAGAAGCUCGAAUUUUAAGUCUCUGUACCUAGAAAACUUCAUGAUGAGUGGGAACAUACUAUCGAAAUCAAGAUCAAAAACUAUGAGUGCAAUGCUUUGUGUGAUUUGGGUGCUAGUGUUUCUGCGAUUCCAAAGUCUUUAUGUGAUAUUCUUGGUUUUCAUGAGAUUGAAGAGUGUUCUCUUAAUUUGCAUCUUGCGGAUUCUACUGUCAAGAAACCCAUGGGAAGGAUCAGUGAUGUUCUUAUUGUUGCAAAUAAGAACUAUGUACCCGUGGAUUUCAUUGUACUUGACAUAGAUUGCAAUCUUUCAUGUCCCAUUAUUCUUGGUAGACCUUUCCUAAGGACUAUUGGUGCUAUCAUCGAUAUGAAGGAAGGGAAUAUUAGAUUUAAAUUUACUUUAAAUAAGGGCAUGGAGCACUUUCCUAGAAAGAAAAUAAGAUUGCCUUAUGAAUCUAUGAUGAGGGCUACUUAUGGUUUGAGGACCAAAGAUGACUAUACGUGAUUCCAUCACUUCCGCCUAGCUAAGGGCGUUAAACAAAAGCGCUUGUUGGGAGGCAACCCAANNNNNNNNNNCAAUUUCCCCNNNNNNNNNNNNNNNNNNNNNNNNNNNNNNNNNNNNNNNNNNNNNNNNNNNNNNNNNNNNNNNNNNNNNNNNNNNNNNNNNNNNNNNNNNNNNNNNNNNNUGUUGGGGAACGUAGCAUAAAUUCAAAAUUUUCCUACGCUUAUUCAGAUCUUCCUAUGGAGAGACCAGCAACGAGAGAGGGGUAGGAGCAUCUUCGUACCUUUGAAGAUCGCUAAGCGGAAGCGUUGCUAGAACGCGGUUGAUGGAGUCGUACUCGCAGCGAUUCCGAUCUAGUGCCGAACAACGGCACCUCCGCGUUCAAGACACGUGCAGCCCGGUGACGUCUCCCGCAGCUUGAUCCAGCAAGGAGGAGGGAGAGGUUGGGGAAGAAGACCAGAAACACGACGGCGUGGUGUUGGUGGAGAGACGAGGUCUCCCGGCAGGGCUUCGCCAAGCGCCGGCAGAGAGGAGGAGGAAGAAGUGCAGGGCUGCGCCGAGAGAGAGAUUAAACCGUGUCUCAAACAGCCCCGAACCUCAUCUAUAUAUAGGGGGAGAGGGAGGGGGCGCAGCCCUUAGGGUUCCCAUCCCUAAGGGGUGCGGCAGCCCUUAGAUGGGAGAGGGGUGGCGGCCAGGGCAAGGGGGAGGGGUGGCGCACCCCUCUGGUGGGCCUAAGGCCCACCUAAAUUAGGGUUNNNNNNNNNNNNNNNNNNNNNNNNNNNNNNNNNNNNNNNNNNNNNNNNNNNNNNNNNNNNNNNNNNNNNNNNNNNNNNNNNNNNNNNNNNNNNNNNNNNNAAAGUCUAGUGUAUUAAGUCCAAAAGAACAGAGUAACGCCUUAAGCAAGAUGACAUGAUGUAGAUGGACAAUCUCAUAUCUACGAUAAAAGCCCAUCUUGUUACCCUUGAUGGCAACAAAACGAUGCAUGCCUUGCUGCCCCUUCUGUCACUGGGAAAGGUCACCACACGGUAUGAACCCAAAACAAAGUACUUCUCCCAUUGCAAGAAUCAUAGAUCUAGUUGGCCAAACAAAACCCAAGACUCGGAGAGACUUACAAGGAUAUCAAAUCAUGCAUAUAAGAAAUCAGCAAAGACUCAAAUAUAAUUCAUAGAUAUUCUGAUCACAAAUCCACAAUUCAUCGGAUCUCGACAAACACACCGCCAAAGAGGAUUACAUCGGAUAGAUCUCCAUGAAGAUCAUGGAGAACUUUGUAUUGAAGAUCCAAGAGAGAGAAGAAGCCAUCUAGCUACUAACUACGGACCCGUAGAUCUGAAGUGGACUACUCACGAGUCAUUGGAGAGGCGAUGAUGUUGAUGUAGAAUCCCUCCAACUCCAAAGUCCCCUCCGGCAGGGCACCGGGAAGGAUCUCUAGAUAAGAUCUCGCGGAAACGGAAGCUUGUGGCGGCAGAAAAGUGUUUUCGUGGAUGCCCUGAUUUUUUCUGGAUUUUUAGGGAAUUUAUAGGCCAAAGAGCUAGGGCAGGGGAGCGCCAGGGAGGCCACAAGCCUGGUUGCCGCGGCCCCCCUGGCCGCGGCAACAGGGCUUGUGGGCUCCCUGUGGGCCCACUGCCUUGGCCCUCAAGCCUCCCAAUCUUCUUCUGUUCUGGAAAAAUUUAUUUCAGGGAUUUUAUUCCGUUUGGACUCCGUUCCAAAAUCAGAUCUGAAAAUAGUCAAAAACACAGAAAAAACAGGAACUGGCACUUGGCACUGAAUUAAUAAGUUAGUCCCAAAAAAGAUAUAAAAGGUAUAUAAAACAUCCAAAGUUGACAAGAUAACAGCGUGAAACCAUCAAAAAUUAUAGAUAUGUUUGAGACGUAUCAUGCCCCCCUUAGUACCAGAUUUUGUCAUAGCGCCAUCUGAAUUGACCUUUAUCCACCCUACCUCCGGCACUUCCCAUCUCUGAAUAUGCAUAUUUUUUGGCAGACCCUCGGGCCUAUCAUGUGUGUUCCUCCACUCCUGUAACAUAGCAGUAACAGACUCCAAUAUCGCAUGUGGUGUAGCAAUCNNNNNNNNNNNNNNNNNNNNNNNNNNNNNNNNNNNNNNNNNNNNNNNNNNNNNNNNNNNNCUUUCCCUCCCUUGCUUCGUUCCUGGCCAGCCAAAGCUCGUAUGUAGCCUGCACCAUUGCUUCCUUCUCGUCGUCAGCGGCACCGGCAAACCAUCCCAGCAGCCAGCAAGAUAAGGCGCCCUGGGAGUCGAUCUGGAUCGGUGGGGCUGCCACCGAGACUCCUUUUUUCGAGCGCAUCAUCUGCCAGAACUGAGUUGAAUGUUGGCACGUCCAAAACCUAUGAAGUAUAGAUUCCUCUCUGUCGCACGCAACACAAAAAACGUUGGGCUUAAUUCGACGCCGAUGAAGUUCUGCACCCACCGCAAGGCCAUUUCUAAUCAUCCUCCACAUAUGAAUUUUAGCUUUGCCUGGAACAUUUGUGUCCCACAACGCAAGGUAACCCUUAUGUUUAUCCACCGAGCUCGAGCCCUCUAGCUGUCCAGAUCUCGCUCCUGUCAAGGACACCCUGAGAUGGUAAGCGGAUCUCACAUUGAACACCCCAUUCUUCGUGUAAUUCCAAGCCUGGUAAUCCUGCAUAUUCGGGCCACCAAUAGGAAUUUGCUUAAUAUCGGCCGUGUCCGAUUCCGAGAACAUGGCAUCCACCUUGUGUGUGUCCCAACACAUCCCCGAACUGGUAAGUAAGUCGCCAACUCUAGUGAUACCCUGUAUAAAUUCUUGUCCCAAUGGCAUCAUACUCCCUCUCCGUGGUAUCCAAUUGUCAUGAUGAAUGCUGAUAUUAGAUCCAUUUCCCACUCUCCAAAUCAACCCCUCCCUUAAUAAGUCUCUCCCAUACAUAAUGCUUCGAAAGGUAUAUGAUGCAUUUGAAGGGCAAGUGGCUGAUAGUAUUGAGUGAUCAGGGAAAUACCGAGCUUUGAGCACUCUUGCCACCAGAGAGGAUGGAGCUUGUAGAACACGCCAGGCUUGCUUCGUCAAGAGAGCUUGAUUUAAUGCCUCCGGAUCCUAAAAACCAAGCCCUCCAUACCUCUUAGGUUUACACAUUUUGUCCCACGAAACCCAGUGCACUUUCCUCUCACCGUUCAUUGCUCCCCACCAGAAUUUUGAAGAAAUAGAAGUCAGGUUCCGGCAUAUCUUCUUGGUUAGGUGAGAACAACUCAUGGUGAAUGUCGGUGUGGCCUGAAGGCCAGAUUUGAUGAGAACCUCCCUCGCAGCUUUAGACAACCCCUGUCCUUUCCAGCCAGUCACUUUACCUUUGGAGCUUUCCGUAACAUACUUGAACGUUCCCUCUUUCGACUUUCCAACCAGUGUUGGAAGCCCUAAGUAACACUCACUGAGAGCCUCCGAUUCAACUCCUAAUACUUGUUUUAAUUGGACCUUUGUCUCAUCCUGGCAUCCCCUCCCGAAAAAGAUUGACGAUUUCUGCAAGUUAACUCUCUGUCCGGAUGCCUCUUCAUACUUAGUCAGUAUCUCCCUUAGUGCCUCCAUAUUCUCAGUGGAUCCCUCUAGGAAUACUAUGCUAUCAUCGGCAAACAACAAAUGUGUGAUAUGGGGCCCAGUGCUCCCAAAAGACACACCCUUGCUUUUAUGCUCCUCCUCAGCUUUCUUUGGCAAAGCUGAGAAACCCUCAACGCAAAACAAAAACAAGUAUGGUAACAAAGGGUCCCCUUGCCUUAGACCCCGAGAGGGUAUGAAGCUCCUGGAUAGACCACCAUUAAGUUUGAUAGAGAAGCUCGCAGAUUUAACACAUCUCAUAACCAUCACAAUCCACUCACGAGAAAAACCAAAUUGAAGAAGCAUCUGCUCGAGAAAGGUCCACUCGACCCUAUCAUAGGCCUUCAUCAUGUCAAGUUUUACCGCGCAUAGACAUUUCUUCCUCUUUCUGGUUCUUAUCGCAUGCACACAUUCAUAAGCUACAAGUAUGUUGUCCGUAAUAAGACGCCCCGGGACGAAGGCGCUUUGCUCCUCAGAGAUCAAAACUGGAAGGAUGCCUUUGAGUCUAUUAGCCAACACCUUGGUAGCUAUCUUGUAUAGCACAUUGCAUAGGCUAAUCGGCCUGAAUUGGGACAACAAAUCCAGAGAGUUUACUUUGGGAAUCAUGACAAUCACAGUGGCAUUAAAGGAGUCCGGAGUCGCUGCCCCACUUAAAAAAUCUCGUACAGCUCGGCACACAUCUUUCCUCACCAACGACCAGUGUUGUUGAUAGAACAUGGCCGGUAAACCAUCAGGCCCUGGAGCCUUAGUUGGCCCCAUUUGAAAUAGGGCAACCUCAAUUUCCUCAUCGGCUAUUGGAGCCGUUAACCUCAUGUCCAUUGCUUCAGAAACUAGCUGAUCAAUAUUUUGAAGCAGUGCAUUGGCUCCUUCUGAUCCUUCCGACGUGAACAGUUUCUCAUAAAAGGAGGCCGCAAGUUGUCUCAUCUCCUCAUCAACUCUGCACAUAGAGCCAUCCUCUCUCCUCAGCGCUCUCACCGUGUUCUUUCUCUUCCGNNNNNNNNNNNNNNNNNNNNNNNNNNNNNNNNNNNNNNNNNNNNNNNNNNNCGAUGUGAUGCCCUGUUCUGAAAGUAUUUCGUGUUCAUAUCGCACGCCUUAAACCAUUCAACCCUAGAUCACUGCAUGUACAUCACCUCCUCUCGCUCGUAAAUCUCCCUAAGUUGCUCCUCAAUAUCCCGAACCUCAGUAGUGUACCCCGUCACCCCGACUCUGGAUUUCGCAUCCACCAUAUCAUCUUUCAGUCUUGUAAUCUACCUCCUGACUGAACCAAAUACAGUCCGUACCCAUCGCUGCAUAUUUCCUGUGACCUUUUGCAGCUUCUGACAAACUGCAGCCAGUCCAUUGUUACCCGAGACAGCUUCCUCUCAUGCCUUAGUGACCAUACCGUCAUACUCUCCAUGUCUAGUCCAAGCCUCUUCGAAUCUGAACUGCCCACUGCCCCCUGGCGGCUUGGCAAGGAGUUGUCUCAUGCGCGCGCACCAGGAUCGCUUGAUGGUCUGACUCCUCAGUCAUAACAUGUUCAACAAGUGUUGUUGGAAAGAGCUCAAGAAAGGAAUCAGUACAAGUAGCUCGAUCCAACCGUACCUGAAUGUUAUCGGUACCACUCCUUUUGUUCUCCCAUGUAUAAGGGUAUCCCGAGAACCCCAAAUCCGCCAAGCCGCAGUCAGCAAGUGUUAGAGCAUAUAUCUCCAUAUGUGGUUUUGGUAAUUGAUGACAAUUCCUAUGGACUAAUGGUUGCCUUAAGUUAUAUUUAUAGGAUUUGUCCAUAGGCACUUCUUGAAGUCCAUCUGUUGGGUUCAAGGAGUUUAUAUGAUGACCAAGAUGGUAUUCAAGGAAUUAUCCAAAGAAUGGUCAUAGAGACACAAGGUUGAUCAAGAUCUCAGACAAAGAAGUAAAUCAAGAUGAUCAACACACAAAGCGUACAAGAUGUACCGAAAGGGAUCAAGUGAUCCCAUGGUAUGGUAAGCAUUGUCCAUUACGUGUUUGUGUACUAACCCAUGGUCUUCGUGAGAGUUCUAUGUGGGGGUUAGGUGUGUUUCCAUGGGCUUGCGUCAAAGGGAAGAUCUCAUACAACCCAUGAAGUAUGACGUCAAGUUGUGAUCGUCAUCAAGAUUGCGGUGUGCAAGUUCAAGUGGAUCAGCACGAAGAUAUCAUGCUUGACGCUUGCCGUCCAUUGUGGUGGCAAUGGACUUGUGAAGAUAUGCUGAAGAGUGGAUCACCCAUAGUGAGUAUGGGGGAGCAAUCAACUAGUCUUCAUCAAGCCAACGCAAUCAAGAAAGGUGGUCCAUCUUAAGGAAGCCAAGAUCAUCAUCAUCUAGCUCAAGAGGAUGAGGUGCAAGGUAUAGUUUUGCCCUUGAUAGGUUUUCUGUUUAGGAUAGAUUGUUGUACUAUCAAGGGGGGCUCUCAAGUGAGUAGCUUGAUCGUAUCGUUCGUUGAGAGCUCAAACCAUUUGCAUCCUUGCAUCAUACUUCUUGGUUCUUGUUUGUUGUUUCUCUUUGUGAGUUUUAGAGCUUAUGGUCAUCUUCAUGACAAGCUCGAGUUCAUCGAAAUGGAGUCCAUAUGCAUCUACUAUGAUGUUUUCGAUGUUGGAGUUUUUGCCGGUUCUUCAUUCAUAGAGGACUCACAUCUCUAUAUCAUUGGCAUUUUCAUAUCUACAUGGUCGCUGUUUGGAUAGCUCUUGUUGUCCUGAAUCCAACAAGCUUGGGUUUGCUCGAUUCGGCGCUCGUAUGCGAAAGUUAUGGAUGUUUCAGUGGCGAGCGGUAGUACCGCGUCCCAGAGGUAGUACCGCCCCUGGCCAGCGGUAGUACCGCUCCAAGUUUUUAGUACCGUCAUCUUGGCGGUUGUACCGCGUCAGACUUUUUGCGAAGACUUUCUUGGCGGUGGUUGGCCCGGUAGUUUCUUUGCGCUACCAUGGGCUCAGCGGUAGUACCGCUGCAGCCAGCGGUAGUACCGCUGGAGGGUCAGUGGUAGUACCGCUGCAGCCAGCGGUAGUACCGCUGGGCUCGGGCUGUAAGUGGGGGUAACGGUCUGAUUCCUUCCCCCCACUAUAUAAAGGGGGUCUUCUUCCCUCUUGGUCUUAUCUAUCCGUUGAGCUCUUGUUCUACCUCCAUUGUUGACAUUCUUAGAGCUUGCUUACUCUCAAUCCCUCCAAUGAUUCUUGCUUGUUCUUGAGGGCAAAGAGAGAGGAGAUCUAGAUCCACAUCUCCACCAAUCACUUUCUCCUCUAUGUGAGGGGAACCCCUUGGAUCUAGAUCUUGGAGUUCUUUGUGAGCUCCUUGUUCUUCCUCUCAUAUUUCUCCAUAGCUUUUGUUGUUGUGGAGGGAUUUGAGUGUGAGGGACUUGACCACUUCGUGUGUGCUUGCCAUUGCAUUAGUUGCACCGGUUUGAGUUCUCCACGGUGAUACGUGGAAGUGAGAAGUUGAGAAGCUUACUACCUUUGGUACUUAGUACCCUAGAUAUUGUUCUUCGUGGAUGCUUUGGCAUCCUAGAAGCUUGGUGGUGUCUCGGAGCUCAAUCAUUGUGGUGUGAAGCUCCGGGAAAGCGUUGGGGUCUCCAAUUAGGUUGUGGAUAUUGCCCCGAGCAAUUUGUACGGUUACCGAUAACCGCCCCCAAGGGUUGCCACGUGUACGGGUUCGGUGACCGCCCCCAAGGUUUGCCAUUUGUACGGGUUCGAUGACCGCCCUCAAGGGUCCCUUAGUGGAAUCACGACAUCUUUCAUUGUGCGAGGGCGUGAGGAGAUUAGGGUGGCCUUAGUGGCAUCUUGGGGAGCAUUGUGCCUCCACACCGCUCCAACGGAGAUUAGCAUCCGCAAGGGUGUGAACUUCGGGAUACAUCAUCGUCUCCCCGUGCCUCGGUUAUCUCUUACCCGAACCCUUUACUUAUGCACUUUACUUUGUGACAGACAUGUUGUUUAUUGUAAUAUAUCUUGCUAUCACUUAGUUGUUUAUCUUGCUUAGCAUAAGUUGUUGGUGCACAUAGGUGAGCCUAGUUGUUUGUAGGUUUUGUGCUUGACAUAUUAAACGUUAGUUUUAUUCCGCAUUUGUUCAAGCCUAAACCUUAAUUAUUUUAAAGCGCCUAUUCCCCCCCCCCCCCUCUAGGCGACAUCCACGUCCUUUCAGCAAGGCAAUCACGAAAAUCCUCCAUCUGUCGGAAGCUCCGUCUGUUCCCUCCAAAUUGUUCUGUGUGAAACAGCACUUCGUUGUAGUCACCUACGCAGAUCCGCGGAAGAUUAUCCUGCGCGGAGAAAACGUAAAGCAUCCCACGAUUUUUUCGUUAGCUCCGUCUUGGGUUCUCCGUAGAAUCCAGUGAAUCUACAAAGCCUCCCCUCCCACACCAUCUCUGCAUCGAUGAAAAAUUGGCACCAUGGCCUCACAGUCACUUGAACAUUCUCUCGCCACCAUAAAGCCAAGCCACCNNNNNNNNNNNNNNNNNNNNNNNNNNNNNNNNNNNNNNNNNNNNNNNNNNCUUCCCAUCACAGUCCACCGCCAUCCCAUUCGAAACCCCCAGACUCCACGGUAUCCUUUCCAUCUCCCUCGCGUUCUGCUUAGUCUCGCUGAGGAAUACCACCACUGGAUUGAGAGACCUAAUCAGGUCUCUUAAUUCUCCCACCGUCGAGGCCAACCCCAAUCCUCGACAGUUCCAGGCUAGGAGAUUCAUGGUGUUCGGCGGCCCUGCACAACAGGGUCGGCCGAUGAAACAUUAUCCCCGGAGAUGCGGUCAAACACUGUAGACGUCUUGCGUCUCGUAUCACAAAUGAAAGCACCCUCUGGACACUGCCUACGUGAGUCAUCCUUAGCAAUCCAAACCUGCUUCGGUCCCCGCUUCCUGUUGUCAUGAACAAAGGCAGCAUGUGAACUUCCCGGCGUGCGGGAAUGUUGCUCUAAUCGCGGCUUCUUCACAUAUGUACCCCGUUUCUUAAUUGCGCAUUCUUGACUUCCAUGCAAUCUCGUGUCCUUCCGCGCAGAGUUAGUGCAUGGCUCAGACAUGCUAGCUUUACUUUUGCUCCCAUGGUUUUCCACCCAUGAUUCUUGACCCUGCUGACGUUGUCCCAAUAAUUUGUCGCGCAGGUCAUGUUCUCUCCGCUGCUCAAUACCCUGCCGAAGAUCACCUUCUCCUCGCGUCGCAAGUUUUUUUCCCCUUAAGCUAGAUAUUGUCCUCGCCCCUGCCCGAUCUCAGUCGCACGCCAGUGCGUGAGUCUGCCGAUCGCAUAAAAUCUGCAUGUAGGUUACGCUUUGUUGGGGCCUCCCUUCUACUGCCAUAUUGGUUAAAACUCCCGUGAUCGCUGUCCCAGUACGCCCAGCUCCGGAGCUACUAUUCUUGCUAGCCGUCGGGCCUCCCACAUAAUCCUUUCCCACCUUGCUCUUCCCCGGUGAUGCCCUCAGCCAUCCACCCCAUUGAGAGCCUGAGUCCACUGGCGGUACACAGAUACCAUCCACAUGAACUAAUCUUCCACAUUGAAAGCAGAAGUGCGGGCCUUUCUCAUAUAGAAAAUCAUACCAAGUUCCAACCUUAUCCUCAAGUGAGGUUUUAAGGUAGAACCCUCUCACCAGGGGUUCGUGAACAGAGAUCUUGGCUCUCACUCUCAGGUGAGCACCUCUCGCUAUGCCUUCAUUGUCACAAUCAACUCGCACAAUCUCCCCCAGCCAAUUACCAAGAGCAUUGCCAAAAGUCUCCGUCCGUCUGGCCGGUGGUAGAUCAUUGACACGCACCCAAAUAUCUACUUUAUCAAACACCAUCUCAGAUGGCCUGGUAUCCCCCUCAUAGUUCUUCAAAAUCACCACACUAAAGUCAAAUUUCUAGGGUCCAUUAUUCAUCACAUGCUUCCAAUCACCUUCACUUCCAAAGUGCACGCCAAAAAUAUUUCCUCCAAGUGGCCUGAACUUUGCCUCCCUAUGCAGCCCCCAUGCCUUUUGCGUCGUUCGCUCCACUUCAGUAAAGUUCAUCCGUCGUGGGUAACACACCUUCCCCACCGCCGACCAUCUUGAAUCCUUUGGGAACGCCGGUUCAGGGUCUUCAAAGACAAAGCCCUGGGAUUCCUUUUCCAUUAGCACCAUACCUCCAAGUCUCGCCGACAAACUCGCUGCAGGAUCCGGCGUCUUGCUCUCCACCGGGGAUUUGGAAGAUCCCCGGCUAGCCGAUCUAACCGUUCUGUGCAUCACCGGCGUGGCUGCCGCCCCUCCCGUGCCUGGAUGGGGCGCCUCCUUUUGGAUGGCCCCCCCUUCCGCCUGAGUGGAUGAUCCUGCUACAGCCUUAGGAGUAGCCGCCGUCGCCGCCUUCACAGAUGCCAUCUUGGCCGUGUUCCCCGCCAUCUUCUCACGCGCCUUCUCUGCCAUGGACUUCUAGCACAAACAGGAUCACCGCCGGUUUGUGCACCGGAGAAGCGUCGUCGCCCUCCAGGACACCAUCGUAAACCCACCACCCCCGAUAGUCAAAACCCUAACCCCUAGCAUAGGAAAGCGGUCGCCAUGCAAUCGCCCCCGUGUCGCCCUAGAGUUUCGCUUCGUGGUGGACCCUAAAUUCCUGUAAAAAAAUAGAUGUUCAUAUUUUAGACUAGCUGAUAGACAAAUCACUGGAUGCGUUUUUAAACUUGUGAUAGUCUACAUUUAAUUUAGACUACCACAUAAACUAACCACUAAAAAUGCUCUUAGCACCUAUCCAAAGUGGAGCAUUGGGAGCAGCCUAACGCGACAAAAACCCCGUCCAGAUUCAAUGGCACGCGACAACGCUGGAGCUCACUCGCCGACGAGGGCCCCGGCCUCGAAUCAGAUACGGCGGCAUCUCCCGUCCCGAACGAGUGGACGACCAAGCCGAAAGCAGUCUCCCACAAUGACGCGCGGGCCAGCGACGCACCCGAGCCCACUCGUCAUCCACCCUGACCCAAACUCGCCCCCACCUGGCGGUCUCGUCUCGCCAAAAUGCGCGACGCACAACGUGGUGGCGGCGCGACGCACGCACGGCCCCUGUCCUGCUCACUCGACCGACCGGCCUCAUGAAUCUGGCCGCCCCCAUCUCCACCUCCACCUCCACGGCCGCCCCUCCCCAUGCCCAUGGGCUCAUGCCAUUAAACCUCUCCCCCGCGCCCUCCUCGCUCCGUCGCUCCCUCUUCGCCUCCCUCCGGAACAAGAUCUCCCCGAUGGCAUCCGCCCCCGCCUCCGCCUCCGCGGCCCUCUCCACCGCCGCCCCCGCCGACAACGGCGCCGCCAAGCCCACGGAGCAGCGGCCGGUACAGGUCCGUGCGCGUCGCUCACCCUUUUUCUUCCUGCCGUCUCGCUAUGUGGAGUUGUAUGGCUCAUAUUUCAGCUCGCGGCUCUGUGUGGCUACACACAGUCACAGUCGGGAAUCAAAAUUAGCUUACCUCUGUCUGAGGCGUAUUGCCAGUCUCCUAUCUGUAGAACUACUGUUGCUGCAGAGCGACUGGAGAUCAGAUUGUUCUGAUAUUAGUAGGUUUUGAGCAGGGCUUUUGCUUCGGUUCNNNNNNNNNNNNNNNNNNNNNNNNNNNNNNNNNNNNNNNNNNNNGUUCAGCAGCUUCUGCUGUGCGUACCAUGCGCACCGAGUUUAGGAGUAGCUCCAUUAUACUUAGGACGUAUUUUGUCACAGGCAAGCUGCAUUGCUGCAGAAGCAAAGUAAUCCUGGGGCUAGUAAAAAACUUCAGGUUCGUGUGCCACCACGUUUGCUGUUGUGAAUGGCGUGCUCAGCUGUAUGCAGAUGAGAAGCAUUUGUUGAAUCCAUUGAACUAGAAAAGGGAAAAUCUAACUGGCGCAGACAGUAGUCGUUGCAAUUUUAGCUUUUUUAUAUUGCUGCAGUAGUAGACUUGUAGUUUCUCGUGCCAUUAGGCAUAUAUGAAGUUGGUUUAGUUAUUUGUGUAGCAUGUUGCUAUGAAGCAUAAUAGCAAGCUAGUGCAAGAACGUUCGCAGCUUUUACAGCGCAGAAAGUAACCACUGGAGUUUUCUUCCACAAUUUAAGAACACCAGAAGGGGAUAAAAAUAACUGUUUGAGAGAAAAUGAUCAAUAUCUUAAUACAAAUGUCGACUCUAUUGGCCAUGUUUUUCACUGGAUGACUGUUAUAAACUUGCUUCAGAAUCCCUUCUGUAGUGGAAUUAUUCAAGAAGAGAAGCCACAGCAUAAACCAUCCCAAAAUAUUCCAAUUUCCCAUCUUUCUGGUCAGGCCCAUAUUACCUCCUUUCCUGUUUAUUAAGCCUGUACGCACCCCUAGAUUGAAAAUUGAAUCAAGAUAAUGCAAGUAGCAUAUCCUAAAUUUAUACGACUGGAAAAUAUAUCAUUUGAACUUUUGAAGUAUCUAAUGAUAUAUUUUUUGUGAUAUAUAAAUUGUACAACGUUCGCCAAAUUGUUAGUCUAGGGAUACACAUAGGCCUAAUAAACCGAGUAGGUAGUAUUACUUAUGAAUUAGUCCAUAGCUGUAUAUAUAUAAAUAAUGCAGAUGGAAACUGUGCACCUUAUUGAAAGAAUUCUAGUACUGCUUGUACUCUGCAUUCUGGCAGGUACCAUCAUCGCCCAUAUGUUAGGUUGCUGCUAUUUUCCAGUUCUCCACAGCUAUGCACCAAUGACCCAUAUAAAGAACAGGUUGUACAUUAUCAUAUUGUAAAAAGAAAUUUGUAUGUGUAUGUUCCACCCUAUGGACUACACUAUUACUUUUUUUCAUUUUCUAUUUAGAUCCCAUUUUGUCCUUACAUAAAUCGUCCGUGGCAUAAAAUGGGCCAUAUAACCCAAAAAUAUGGCAGAACAAUAGUUUAGGGGGNNNNNNNNNNNNNNNNNNNNNNNAAAAUAUGGCAAAAAAAUAGUUUAGGGGGGGGGGGGGCUUCAUUUUAGCGUGGUUGCAGUUUCUCAUGCCAUUAGUCAAAAGAACUACUACACUGAAUUAUAGGUAGAUAGGAAGUUGGUUUUGCUAGCACAAUCUGAAUUUUACGACUUAUGCUGCAGAACAUAGCCCCUUGGGGUUUCUUCCAGAAAUUAUAUACAUCAUACAUCAGAAAGGAAACAAAACAAACUUAGGAGAAAGGAAGAAAACCUUACCAUACAUGUAAAUUGUUCGUCGUUUCUUAUUGGUUUUAUUAACAUAUAAGAAAAUGGCAAAAUAGACCAUCCAAAAUAUCACAAAUUCCCAUCUUGCUGGUCAGUCCCAUUAUUACUCAUCAACUACUACUUCCUUGCUUCUUCUGACCAUACCUGUCUAGUUCCUACCAAAUUUGUGCCUACGAAUGUGAAGUAAAAUACACCCUUUAUCGUGGGGAAAUUGAAAAUACACACUUAUCUGAAAGCCAUAUUGGAAGAUUGAAAGGGCAAUCACAAUAUUGUAUAAUCUAGGACUAAAAAUCUUUGAAAUGUAGGCAUGGGUGCAUGACAAAGAACAUCGGUGCCACUUUUGUGACUGUCCUACUUCAUCAUGGACAGAACCCAGCAUAACGUAUCUAGGUUUUCUUUUUCAUGGUAUUGCCAGCCAUACCAUGACACCAGGUAUAGUAUGUCGGUUAGGGAAAGUCAAGGAACAUAUUUUACACCCAAUUGCAGAGUUUGGCCAGUUUUCCUUAUUAACUGGUCAACUCUCUUCUUCUAUAUGGAAAGGUAGAGCUCCUGCCGGUUGCUCGAUUUUUGUUUUGUUUUGCAGAGUUUGGAGGGGUUUGAUCAUUUUGAUAACAUACAUUUUUAUUAUGUAUGCUUGUGGAGUCAGGGUGCCCCAAAAUAGAUGACUAGACAGGUUGGGCAGACAAAUUGUCAGCCAAACUGUUGUUUAGAGCCUUGGAUUUUGCCAAGGCAUGACCGUCUGUAAUGUCAAAUCAACAGUCAAAACUGUAAAACCUGACAAAUUUACAAACAUAUUAUGUGUACAACACGGUGCAUAACUUUCAUGCUUAGUAAAAUAUUGUUAAAGUUCAACUGGCAUGAACCAGAUGUCUAGGGAUUCUUCUGUAACUUCUAUGAUAAUAGGAUUAAACAUAAAUUUUGCGUCGAUGUAUUCUAGUUUUCUUUUGGGUGAUAUAGGUUUUUCUUGUGUUCACAUCCAUUCUUAAACGAGUUAGAAUUGUACUUCCCGUCAUAGUAUAUAAACUUGAGCUUGUGAUUUAAUCUCUUAUGUAUUGCAGGUGGCUAAGCGAUUGGAGAAGUUCAAAACAACAAUUUUCACACAGAUGAGCAUGCUCGCAGUGAAGCAUGGAGCAAUAAACCUUGGACAGGGGUUUCCCAAUUUUGAUGGCCCUGACUUUGUCAAAGAUGCUGCUAUUGAGGCUAUCAAAGCUGGAAAGAAUCAGUAUGCAAGAGGAUAUGGUGUGCCUGAAUUGAAUUCAGCUGUUGCUGAGAGAUUUCUCAAGGACAGUGGAUUGCACAUCGAUCCUGAUAAGGAAGUUACUGUUACAUCUGGGUGCACAGAAGCAAUAGCUGCAACAAUAUUGGGUCUGAUCAACCCUGGGGAUGAAGUCAUACUGUUUGCUCCAUUCUAUGAUUCUUAUGAGGCUACACUGUCCAUGGCUGGUGCGAAUGUCAAAGCCAUUACACUUCGCCCUCCGGACUUUGCAGUCCCUCUUGAAGAGCUAAAGGCUGCAGUCUCGAAGAAUACCAGAGCAAUAAUGAUUAAUACACCUCACAACCCUACCGGGAAAAUGUUCACAAGGGAGGAACUUGAGUUCAUUGCUGAUCUCUGCAAGGAAAAUGACGUGUUGCUCUUUGCCGAUGAGGUCUACGACAAGCUGGCGUUUGAGGCGGAUCACAUAUCAAUGGCUUCUAUUCCUGGCAUGUAUGAGAGGACCGUCACUAUGAACUCCCUGGGGAAGACGUUCUCCUUGACCGGAUGGAAGAUCGGCUGGGCGAUAGCACCACCGCACCUGACAUGGGGCGUAAGGCAGGCACACUCCUUCCUCACAUUCGCCACCUCCACGCCGAUGCAAUCAGCAGCAGCGGCGGCCUUGAGAGCACCGGACAGCUACUUUGAGGAGCUGAAGAGGGACUACGGCGCAAAGAAAGCGCUGCUGGUGGACGGGCUCAAGGCGGCGGGCUUCAUCGUCUACCCUUCGAGCGGGACCUACUUCGUCAUGGUCGACCACACCCCGUUCGGGUUCGACAACGACGUCGAGUUCUGCGAGUACUUGAUCCGCGAGGUCGGCGUCGUGGCCAUCCCGCCGAGCGUGUUCUACCUGAACCCGGAGGACGGGAAGAACCUGGUGAGGUUCACCUUCUGCAAGGACGACGACACGCUGAGGGCGGCGGUGGACCGGAUGAAGGCCAAGCUCAGGAAGAAAUGAUUGAGGGGGCGAUUUCCGUGCAAAUGAUUGAGGGGGCGAUUUCCGUGUAGCCGUUGAUGAUUGUUUGGUGAAUAAAGACCUGCUCGAUCUGAUCUGAUCUGCAUUCCGGUGCGAUGCAUGUAACACUUUUUUCUAGCAGCAGUUAUCUACUAUAUCUCCUGUCUGUGACUUUGAUCUCUUUCGUCGUUGCUAUUUUGAACGUGUAAGGCGAUGGUGAUGGCUCCGGGUAAAGCUGACGGUACGAAACCUGUGCGGAGCAAAACUGCGGCUGCUAUUUGCUCGAGCCUUUUUC